UUUUGGUUUCCUUUUGCUGGUGAGUUUGGGCUUAGCUUCGGCGGCCCGAUCUCUUCUUUCUUACGAUAUUCCUCCUCAUCGAUCUGGAUACGAUAAUUAUGAUCAUCCUGUAGUUAACCCUAAAGUAGGAUACGAACAUGACCGUCGUGAUGGAUACUACCAUGACCGUGACCAUCAUGAUGCACCUUAUGGUGGUGGUGCUGGUGGAGGAUAUGGAGCUGGAGCUGGAGCUGGCUCAUCUCUUGGAGGCUCUGGAUAUGGAAGUGGAGGAGGUGGUGGUUCUGGAUAUGGAGGUGUAGGAAACCACGAGGUUGGUUAUGGUAGUGGUGGAGGGGGUGGAUAUGGAGCUGGAGUUGGCUCUGACCUUGGUGGUAGCGGAUACGGAAGCGGUGGUGGUGGAGGCAGUGGAGGAGGAUACGGUGAUUUAGGAGGACGUGGAAAAGGGUACGGUAGCGGUGGAGGUGGAGGAAGUGGAUAUGGAGGUAGAGGAGACCAUGGAGUUGGUUAUGGAAGUGGUGGAGGUGGAGGAUAUGGAAGUGGAGUAGGUGGUGGUGCAGGAGUGGUAGACCAUGGUGUAGGUUAUGGGAGUGGAGGAGGAGGUGGGGCUGGUAGUGGUUAUGGUGGUUCCAAAGGAUAUGGAGGUGGAAGCGGCGGCGGUGGGGGAGCCGGUUAUGGUGGUGGAGCACAUGGAAGUGGAUAUGGAAGUGGUGGUGGAGCUGGAAGUGGUGAAGAAGGAGGAUAUGAUGGUGGAUAUGCACCGUAAACAAAGAAAAGAAAAGAAAAAGCUCAAAGUUUUAUGGCUAAAAUGAGAAUGCUUACCCUAAUAUCAUCAAUGUGUGUGUGUGUUAGCAAAAAAAAAAAAUAAAAGAAUUUGGGUAAGAAAUGUUAUAUUAAUUAUCUUUGAGCUUUUAAGUAAUUUGAAUGUAAUAUAAUAUAUAUAUAAAAAAAGCUAAUCCAUGUGUUCCAAAGUGAACCAACAUGAAGUAUAUUUUCUCCCUUUGUCAUCAUGAUCAUCUUAAACUUGUGGUUAUUAUGUGGGCUCUCAUUAUUAUUCCAAGAUAGCAACGUCGGGAUAUUCAAAUAUUUUUCAUAUGUAAUGUCUUAAGACUAAAUCACUAUGAUCUAUAUGCUUUAAUUAAGUUCAAAACUAUUUUGGAAGCAUUAUGAUUAAUAUAUUGAUUACUUAAAUACUAUUAUAUGGUUUUCAAGGUAACUUGAUGUUGUUAAUAAAAGAAAUCUUUAAUAUUUAAUCAGUCCUUUCUCUUAAAAUUUAGUAAAAAUAAAUACUAAAAUGGUAUGAUGUUUUAUGGUUGGAUUUGGGGUAUGUGUUUUGGCUUGUCCCUCUAGUUGUGACUUGUUCAAAAUAAGUGUACAAUCAAAUUCACUUGGGUUAUUAAAGACAAUUGAUAAACAAAAAUUGCCAAAACGAUAGAGCAUAACUAUUUAAUCGGUAUAAAACUUGUACAAUCCAUUAAUCAUAAUAUACUUUUUCUAAUUGAUCUCUAAUUGAUCGUACAUACUAGUUAGUGUCGAUAAAAAACUCAAUUUGACGUAUAAAUAUUUGUUUGUUGUAAAUGAACAUCUAAGUAUAUUCUUGAUUAAUUAUUCUUAUACUAAGAGUAACAUUGACCCCUCUAUUCUUUAGUAUUUGGUUAAAAGAAUAAAAAAUUAGUAAGUGAUGAAUCUUAGUGUGCUAUAGGUUGAUCAACCAAUUAAAAUUAGUCGUUUCAAGCAAUACUUUCGAAAAAAUUCAUUAAAUAGGAGUUAUUUAAACUAUCAACCCUGAGUUUUUAUACAUUACAAUAAAUUUAAUCUUUGAUGUCGGUCAAAAACUAAUAUAUAGGAGUACAAUAUAGAUCACCAGAUCGAUAUGGAAGACAAUGUUAUGGAAGAUGUUCAAUGUUAAUCACUUUUAUGUUCGUUUUGGUCUUGGCAUUAUAAAUAAUUUAAAUGGUAGUUUUUGCUCACACUACAAAUGUGUUAGACUAUUAGUCAUCAAAUAGUUUGAAUUCCUUGUAAAAAAAAUUAGUUGAAACAAAAAUAAAUAAUUAUCUUUGCAUUAAAAUAAAAUAAAAUAAAUAAAAUAGAUUUUUUUGUGAAUAUUUUGGUCAGGUGUUCUAUUUUUUAUAAUUUCCCAUAAAAAAUAUGUGUAAUAAGUUAUUUAAAAUACUAAUAGUAUUAAUUAGUUUACUUAAUAAAUCAAUUAUAUCUCUAAAUGAUAUUUUGGUAGAUUUAAAAAUAUUUUGAUUCAUUUUGCUAUAUUUGAAAAAGAAACCAUAAAAUUCUACUUCAUAUUCGCAAUAGAUCAUGGUAAACUUAGAUAGGCAUCUAUUAUUUAUAUAUAUGGUGAUAGAUACUUAUGUAUCUAUAUCCAAGCCCAUCAUCUAAAUAUUUUCAAAUGGUUUUCAAUUGAAAACAAAUUUCUCAAUAAGUAAUUAAAAAUUAGGUUUUUAUUCACUAAUAAUUAUUAUUUAAAUGUGAACAAAUAAAGUUUAGCUCGUAUAUAAUGGGUCAGUAGGUACACUCGGAUAUCUCCACUAGAUGGACACCCCUUAGCACCCUCAUUAUCUCCGUUUCAUUAAUAUAAAAAAUCGAAUUGAAUACACGAGAAGUAAAGAGAACAACCCAAACAAAAAACAAAGAACUAGAGACAAGCCCAAAACAAGUACAAACAAUUAGAAAGCAUGAAGAAAUUAGUGCUUUAAACCCCUAAACCGCAAUGUUACUUAACAAAUAAAAUUGUUAUUUAAAAGUUUGAAGUUAUUAUUGAGUUUUAUUUUAGCAAAUUAAUCAUCUCUUAAAUUAAAAAUCUCAAACAUACAUGGAAGAUAAGAUCAAUUAAGCACAUGUUGGAUGAAUUUUGUUCGAAUAAAAAUUAAAACAACUUAUUGUUAUCAACUUAUAAGUUAUAUAUAUGAUGAUGGUGGUGCAGAGGUGAAAACUUAGUUUGAGAUCUCUCCCUACAUCUACUAUGCUUUUACGUUCUAAUGUAUUUUGUGGUAAAAAAAUCAAUUAUAAACUUUUAAGAAAAAUUUUCAUAUGUUAUUAUUUUUUCUCUAAAUUCUAAACUAGCCAGGUUAUCAACAAAACAAAUACCACUAGAGUUUAAGGGAUUAGGAAGCAUAUAUGAAUAUCUCAACUUGGUUAACACGUCGUUUUUAAACAUUUCUCAUCAGGUUGCUGUUUCAAAAGUGAUGCACUGAUGUGAAGAAACAUAUAGGAGAAAAGUGAGAUGGAAAGUUAGUAUAUUGGACAGAGUACAUAGUACAUAGUAGGUUUAUUAAUUAAUUUAUCCAAAUGAUAAUCUCAUUACCAAGCACUAUGUGAUUUAGAUAUGAAUAAAAUGUGAUCAUUUUUCCACCACUAUUACAUAGCAAAUGGGAAAACAUCUCAUUGUGGUUUGAUAUUUUAAAAAACAAUUAUGGUAAUGCAAGUCGUCUCAUAUCCCAUAAUAUUAUCUCAGUCUCAUGGCGACUGAUACAAAAGGACAAAACUAACUUCAUUAAAAUAUGUUCUCUCCUUCCUACACUUUUUAGGUAUAUAUCAUUCAUAUAUUAAUCACUGCAAUUGGUUAGGUGGACUACAAAAACAUAGAUAUAGUCCGAGAUAAAAUUAAGUACGGUUAUAUUUUACGAGACUUUUGAUGUGUUUGAUUACAUUUUCAUGUGUUUCUUUUAGAAAAUAAGUUAUUUUGAAAAAACUAAAGUAUUUUAAACAAUUUUUAGAACAAUCAAUUUCUUGAAAAAUAUUUUUUUCUUAAUUCAAUCUAAGAUGGAUCCUCAAAAUAUUUGAGGGUAGUUCUUUUAUAAAAGUAUUUACACUAGGUUGGUUUAUGAAGUAAAAUAUUGAUCGGUAAAUUCAAGUUUUAAAUUAGAAAAAUUGAAUAUUUUUAAAAAUAGAAGAAUUGGCUAACUAUUUACAACUCAUACCAAAAUUUUAAUACAAAUCCAAAGUAUCUAUUUUUUAUUUUAUUAUUAUUAUUAUUUUUUGCUAUAGGAUGUAAAUACUAUCUGUUUUCUUGUAAAUUUCUCUUACAAUCCUCUACGAGAAAGUCUUAAUUUUUAUAUUUAUGAUUUAUAUUAUAAUAUAAUUAUUUGGAACCAUAUAAUAAAUAAAAGGAAAAUUGUAAAACAUAACAUUUGACAAAAUAUCUUCGUAGAAAAAUUUGUUGUGUAAUCAAUUUUGAGGUUUUGUUAUAUGGAGCGUAAAUAUUUUGUCAAAUUUUCUAUUUGUGAAAAAAAAAACUUAUAGGUAAUUUGAAAGGUAAGUGAUCUUGUUUAAGAUCCAAAUUUCUUUUAUGAAAGUUUAAUUUAGAAUACAUACGAGAAAAAUAGAUUAAUCUAGAAUGAUAAAUGUAAGAUAGGUUUGGGAAGUACCAAUAAAUUUUAGGCAUGUGAUAGACUAUAACUGUGAAGAUAUAUAGUCUAUUGCUAUCUUGAAUGGCUCAUUCUUGUUUGAAAAUGACCUUAUUUAAAACACAACUUUUUUAUAAAAGAAAAUCCCUUGCAUCAUUCAAACAAUCUUACAAGAUCGUAUUAGUGGAAGAUGAGAUAGAAUUCUGACAUGUGUAUUAUUAGUAUACUUGAAUAGUUUCUUAUCUAACUUUUGAGCAAGUAGUGGAGAAGCUGAUCAUGAACCCUAAACCCACCGUAUCAUUCACUAUAUAAAGGAGAUCACUACAUGCAUUCUAAGGCAUCCCUUCUCCAAAUGGCUAUCUUUAGAACUUUCUCUUUCGGUUUUCUUUUGUUGGUGAGUUUAGGCUUAGCUUCUGCGACCAGAAGUCUUCUCACCUAUGAUCCACCACAUCACUCUGUAUAUGAUGAUCAUAACACUAAAGUAGGUUACGGACGUGACCAUCAUGAUCAACCUUAUGGUGGUGGUGUUGGUGCUAGUGGAGGAUAUGGAGCCGGAGCUGGCUCUGGAUAUGGAGGUGUAGGAUACGAACAUGACCAUCAUGAUGGAUACGAACGUGAUCAUGAUCGAUCUUAUGGUGGUAGUGCUGGUGGAGGAUAUGGAGUUGGAGCUGGCUCCUCUCUUGGAGGCUCUGGAUAUGGAAACGUAGAUCAUGGGGUUGGUUAUAGCAAUGGUGGAAGUGGUGGAUAUGGAGCUGGUGUUGGCUCUGACCUUGGUGGUAGCGGAUAUGGAAGCGGUAAUGGCGGAGCAAGUGGAAGUGGAAAUGGUGAUUUAGGAGGACGUGGAAAAGGCUACGGUCGCGGUGGUGUUGGAGGAAAUGGAUAUGGAGGUAGAGGAGACCAUGGCCGAGUAGUAGGCCAUGAUGAUGUAGUUUAUGGUGGUUCCAAAGGAUAUGGAGGUGGAAGUGGCGUCGGUGGGGGAGCUGGUUAUAGCGGUGGAGCAAGUGGAAGUGGAUAUGGAAGUGGUGGUGGAGCUGGAAGUGGAAGUGGCUAUGGCGGAAGUGGUGAAGAAGGAGGAUAUGAUGGUGGAUAUGCACCUUAAAUAAAAGGGGCUAAAACAUCAUCUAAAAGCUUAUCGUUAAAACGAUAAUACUUACCUAAAUAUCAAUGUUUGUUAGCAAAAAUAAAGAAUUUAGGUAAGAAUGUUAUGUUCCUCUUUUGAAUUUUAGUAACUUCAAUGAAUGUGAUAUUAUAAAAACUAGCUGUUUCAUGGGGUUCUAAAGACCAACAAACAUGCAUGAAAUACUGAGUUAAUACAACGUACGCCAUUCCAAACGUGCUAUUUUAUGGAUUCCAAAGUUGACUUUGAACUAAGGACUAAAUAAUCCUUUAACACCUUCUAAACACAAAUUAUUUCACAGACGUCAAGAUCAGUUAAUCAAGUUAAAACUUAAUAGGUCAAAUUCAUCAUUCCAAAAUGACUUGUAGAAAAAUUUUGAGACUUAGUUCGAGUAUGUUAAAUUCUAAUGUUACGAAGUUUUCUUAACAAAAUUGAGAAGGAGGUUGGGAUGGUGGAUAUGCACUCAAAAAUUUCAUCUCAAAAGAGAAUUGAGAAACAUACUUUUCAAGUAACAAACCCAAUAUUCAUAUUAAUUGGGCAACAAAAGUAAGGAAAUAGGGGUAAAAAGAGAACAUUGUUUUCUAAAUAAUCUAUGUCGAGGUUUGCUUCUUGGCCAUGAAAUUCGAACCAAUUAUUCAAUGAUAAGCAAAUUUGGAUUAAGUAUGCAUGUGUAAUGUGACAAAAUUAUUCAACCACAUUCACGUUAUUUUGCUUUCCUAAUCAUAUUUAUGAAAUAAGAUGGUUUCAUCUUUCAAAAUCAAUACACAAUUACAAAAGUAGUAAUACUUCUAUCUUAUAAACAAUGUUGAUCUCUUGAAUUUUCCAUGUAUGGAAUUAUCAACAUUCUCCGCAUAUUGUUCUAGGUUAUUUUUUUAACCAGUGUAAUCAACCUCAAACAAAAACAAAAGUGACAAAACCAAGAAAAUAACAAAAUUUUCACUUAAAUAAAAGAGGGAAAAAAAAUAGCACAUCCUAUAAGCCAAAAUAAGGGCGAGGGGUUUAGGGUUUAGGGUUAUUAGACCAAGACUACCAAAAUGUCUAAUGACUUUUAUAACGAAACAUCUAGUUUAGAUUGAUACAUAUGAUAUGUAGCAUCUUCACAGCAUCCAAGAUCAAGAGUCGAUAUAUUAUCAUGAAAAGAAAGUACAAAAGGGAAGUUAGGGAAAAACUUGGAGUCAACGUUAAGAGAACCAUUAAAAGUUUUAGAAGUUCAAUUAAUAUUUGUAAAAUUUUAAGAGCUAAAUUUUUAUAAUCCAACGUUUGAGGUCUAGUAAUUGCAAUUGACCAUCAUACUUCAGGGAUAAUUUUUGAAAAUUUCCUUUUCUAUUAUUAAAUUAUCAAGAAAAAAAAGUUUAAUGACGGUCAAAAUAAUCCCUGGCGUCCAUAUAAUAAUUUUCAAUAACAUUUCACGACACUAAAAAAAAUUGGAACUUUGCUCACAUUUUUCUAAGAAACGUAAAUAUUUUGUCAACUUUACUAUAUAUAUAUUAUUGUUACUCUUUUAAAAACUUAAGUAAUUUUGAUUCGACCAAUUUUUUUUGCUAUCAACUACAAUUGUUAAAAAAUAUAUAUAUACGAAAAAAAAUGGUUAAUUUUCAUUCACAAAAUAUUUAAAAAAGUAAAAUUUUAAAUUUGUCUCGUAUCUUUUGGAAUAAGGUUUGUCUUUAAUUAAGGAAAUUUAAAAGUUGCUAAAACAUAGCUAAAUUAAACAAAAGUUACUUUUUUAAAGAAAAUUUUUUAAAUAACAAAAUUAUUAAAAAUAUAAUUAAAUUAGAAUUUUUGAAUCUAUUAUUGAUAUAAUUAAGAAAAGUCUAUCAACAUAUAUCAAUUCUAAUAUUUUAUUAUAUUUUAAUUCAUUUGGUUAUAUUUAACAACUCAUUCCCACACAAACUAUAAUUCAAAUUAAAAACAUAUUUGAACAAAUAUUUUGUAUAAUUUAAGUGAUGAAUCGCACUAAUAUUGUUAAAAUGUGUUUAAAAUGUGAUACUUUUCCCACCAUAUUUUAUAGCAAAUGGCAGAUAAUUUAAUGUUUCUUUGAAGCAAGAAUUAGGCAAAGAAGCAUAUAUAUAUAUAUAUAUAUAUAUAUAUAUAUAUAUAUAAUAUAUAUAUAAUAUGUAAUUAAAUUUUAUAUUAUAGUUAUGCAAAAUCGUUUCAUAAGCCACUUCAUCUCUCUCUAUUUCAUGGCAUCAAGUAAACAAAAAGGGAAAAAGGGAAAAAGAGACCUAAUAAAAUAUGUGUUCUUUAAUUGGUGGAUUUUUAAUUAGCAUUAUUAAUUAAUCAAUCAUGUAAAUAUCCUACAAAGAAUAUUUGUUCUUAAGAUAAUUCAUUGCAUGAUGAAUCAAAAUUUUAGGUUGGGUGUUCCUGUAUACUUAAAAACAUUAUUGCAUUACCAAAUUAAAUUUAUACAAACCAAACGAUAUCAUUUUGUUCGUAUUAAGUUCGUUUAAGUUUAGAUGGUAUAUGAAAGUUGGUUUGUUAUGUUUAGGUUUAUUAAACAACAUUGUAUUUAGACGAUAGUGUAAACUUUAAGUUGUUAAACAUGUGUUUUAUCUUAGUCUAAUGUCGUCUAAUACAAAUAUAUUAUGAUACUUUUUAAUAUUUAAAAAUAUUUUUAGAAGUUUUAUAAAUUAAAAUAAUUUUUCUAAAAAUUAAGUUUCAUCAUUUUUAAGAGGAGAAAAGACACCCUAAACAUAAAUUAAAGAAAAUAGAAUGAUAUUGUAUUAAUUACAUAAAUUUAAUCAAAAAUUAAGAACUAAAAAUAAAAUUGUUAUCAAAAUGAAAAUUCAUUUUAACAUUCAAACCAUCCAAAAAAAAGAACAUCUAAUUACUCUAUUGUAACAGAAGUUUUAUCCUCUUAAGAAAAAAAUAGUUUAAUGUUAAAAGAGUAUACAAAACGUGUUAAUAAGUACACAACUCAAUUAGCAUAAAGCUUAAAUUUUAUUUAGAUCAAGACUCAAAUCUAUGAGAUCACAGGAUAUUGCAAAUUUAGGAUUUUAGGUUAUCGUUUAAAGUUCUAAAAUAUUGCAAAAUGGUGCAAGUGGGAAGAUGGGAUCCAAAUCAAGUAUGGAUAUGAUUUAGUUCCAAUUAUAAUUUAAGGUUAUAGUUUAAUGAUUUAGUUACAACACUUUAGUGUUUUGCCUCUUGAACUUCCCUUAAGCUAUAAUCCAUAAUUAAUAAUGUUUUUGAGCACGUGCCUUCUCUUUAAUUGCCACUAAGGUACCACACUAUAGAGAAGAGCUAAUGAAUCCUUGUUUUCUAUAUAAGGAGAUGGAUCAAUGCAUUCUAAGCAUAUACUCCUAUCCAUGGCUAUUUCUAGAGUGUUGUGCAUUGGCUUUCUUCUUUUUGUGGGGUUAGGGUUAGCUUCGGCUGCCCGAACUCUUCUUGAUUAUGAUCCACGUGCACGUCGUUAUGAUUACGAUCGUCCUACUCCAAGAGUAGGAUACGAUCCAAGCCAUCGUGAUCAAUCCUAUGAUAAUGUAUAUGGUGGAAGCUCUAGCAGAGGAUAUGGAGCUGGAGACUCUGCUCUUGGAGGUUCGGGACGAUAUGAAGGUGGUGGAGGACGUGAUUACGGACAUGGAGGCCGAAAUGAUGAUCGUGGUGUUGGAUAUGGAGGUCGAAAUGAUGAUCGUGGUGCUGAAUAUGGAGGUAGAAAUGAUGAUCAUGGUGCUGGAUAUGGAAGUCGAAAUGAUGAUCGUGGUGUUGGAUAUGGAAGUCGAAAUGAUGAUCGUGGUGUUGGAUAUGGAAGUCGAAAUGAUGAUCGUAGUGUUGGAUAUGGAGGCCGAAAUGAUGAUCGUGGAGUUGGAUAUGGUAAUGGUGGUGGAUAUGGAGGUGUAGGAGGACAUGGUGAUGGUUAUGGUAACAAUGGUGGUGGAAGCUAUGGAGAUCGUUAUGGCCCUUCUCUUGGAGGUUCAGGAUAUGGAAGUGGAGGAAAAGGAAGUGGCAAUGGCUAUGACGAUCAUUCUCGUGGAAAUGGUGCGCGUGACAAUAGCUAUGGAGAUUCUCAUGGACAUGAAGGACGUGACAGUGGAUAUGGAAGUGGUGGAGGAGUUAGUGGAGGCUAUGGCAAUGGAGGAGUUCAUGGAGGGGAGCAUGAUAAUAGCAAAGGAAGUGGAGAAGAAGGGGGUAGGGACGGUGGAUAUGCUUUCAAAAAUUCCAUCUCAAAGGAGAAUUGAGAACUCUUUUUCAAGUAAUGAACCCAAUAUCAUAUUAUGUUAACAAAAAAAAUAAAGAAUUGGGUAUAAGAGAAUGUUGUUUUCUAAAUUUAUGUUGAAUUUGUUACCAACGAAUGUCAAAUUCGAAUCAAUGGGUACAAUGAUAAUCAAAUUUAGGUUAUGUUUAUUGUGAUAAAUUUAUUGCACUCUUAUUUGUUUUGUUUCUCUAUAUAUAUUUUUUCUAUAUAUCCAUAUUAAUAUGGGUGGUUUUGGACCGAAGAAAAAAACAUCAUCUAAAAGUUUUUCGUUAAAAUCAUAUAAUUCUUACCUAAUAUCAAUGUUUGUUAGCAAAAAGUAAAAGAAUUUAGGUAAGAAUGUUAUGUUUCUCUUUGAAUUUUAGUAACUUUUUCAAUGAAGUUGUGAUAUUAUAAAAUCUAGUCAUUUCAUGAAGUUCUAAAGGCAAACAAGCAUGCACCAAAUACUCUAGCUAAUACAACGUACGCCAUUCCAAACGUGCUAUUUUAUGGAUUUCAAAGUUAAACUUUGAAACAAUCUUUUAAUACGUUCUAAACACAAAUUAUUUAACAUAAAUCAUGGGCUAAUCAAGUCCAAACUUAAUAGAUCAAACUCAUCAUUCCAAAUGUCUCCUACAUAACUUGUAGAAAAUUUUAAGAUUUAGUUCGAAUAUAUUAAAUUCGAUGUUCCAAGUUGUUUUAACAAAAUUGAAAAACUUCACCAUUAUUUUGAGAUUUUUUUUUAUGAUUACAUCCUUUAAUUUAUUGAAUAAUUAUAAACAAUCUUGGUUUCAAGAGAAUUAUAUUUACGCAACGAUCAUUUGCAGAUGUUCAAAAUAUUUCUACCCUCAAUUAUACUUACAGAAAAACAUUUGUUGCACUUAUCUCUUCCAAACCAUAAUAGUUUUUAGGAAAAGAAAAAAGAGACAUGUUUAUGAAAGAAAAUUAGGCUACGAUGCUCAUUGUCGUGGAUAUGGAGCGCGUGACAACGGGUAUGGGAGGUGGAGGAGUUAGGGGUGGCUAUGGUGGUGGUAGCAAAUUGAAGAGAUGGUUAUGGUAAAUAGAGAGGUGUUCAUGGAGGAGAAUAUGAUAAUGGCAAAGGAAAUGGAGAAGAAGGAGGUUGUGAGGGUGGAUAUGCACUCAAAAUUAAUUCCAUCUGAUCAAAAGAGAAUUGAGAAACUUUUUUUUUUUUUUUGUAAGUAAUGAACCCAAUAUUCAUAUUAAUUGCACAACAAAAAAUAAAGAAAUUGGGUAAGAGAGAACGUUGUUUUCUAAAUCUUAUGGGUGGAAGGUUUGCAUGUUCGUGAAUGUAAAUAUCAAAUCAAUUUUUUAAUGAUAAGCAAAUUUGGAGUAAGUGUGCAUUUAUACUGUGACAAAUUGAAUCAACCACAUAUACGUUAUUUUGUUUUUCCAAUGAUAUUUAUUAUAUAAGAGGAUUUUAUCUCAAAAUCAAUCAACAAAUACGUGAAUAGUAAUACGUCAAUUUUAUAAACAAUAAUGAUGAUCUCUUGAAUUUUUCAUGUGAAAUUAUCAACAUUCUCCAUGUAUUGUUCUCGGUUAUUAUUUUUGUAACCAAAGUGUAAUCCUCCAAAAAAAUACAAAAUUGACAACCAAGAAAAUAACUAAAUUUUCAUUUAAAAAGAAAAAAGAGAAUAGCAUAUCAAAUAUCAAAUAGCCAUGCAAAAUAAGCUUAACUAGGGGAGAGGGAGUCUAUAAGUCAAAUUGCAUAGUCUAAACCAAGGCUAACAAAUGAAUGAUGAUCCUACGAUAAAAUAUCUUAAGUAGAUUGAUACAUAUGAUAUGUAGCAUCUUCACCGCAUCUAAGAACAAGAGUCGAUGUGUUAUCACAAAAAUAAAAUACAAAAGGGAAGUUUGGGAGAAAAUUAGAGUUAUAAUAAUGUUGAGAGAGAUCCAAUUAAUUAAUACUCUUAAAAUUUUAAGAGAUAAAUUUUUAUAUUUGAGAAUUUAAAUGUGUAAUUGCGACUAAUUAACCAAUCGUGUUGAUUUUUGCAAUUUACCUUUUUUUAUUAAAUUUUCAAGAAAAAAAUAUUUAAUGACGAUCAAAAUGAUCCAUGACGUACAUACAAUUAUUGUCAAACAUUCCAUGUUACUAAAAGAAAAUUGAAACUUUCUCCAACGUUAUAAAUAUUUUAUCCACUUUACUAUUUUUUUUAUUAUUUCCCUAAUUUUGAUUCAAUCAAUUUUCUAGCUAUCAACUACCAUUCUUUAAAAAAAAAUCAAAUAUACAAAAAUAAAAAAUUGUCAAUUUUCGUCCAAAAAAAUUUUAAAAUAAAAUUUGGAAUUUGGAAUAUGGUACCUUUUGGAAUAAGUUUUAAAGCCUUUGAUUAAAAAAAAAAAGUUGCUUCAACCAAAAUCAUUGUAAAUAAUGUUGAAAUUAUAAAAUUAUUAAAAAUAUUUAUAAAUAUAGACAAACUAAAAUUUUAGAAUCUACCGUUGAUGUAACUAAUAAACGUAUAUCAGCGUCUACCGAAUAUAUUCUAAAAAACGGUAAUAUUUUAUAAAUAUUUUAGUAUGUUUACCCUUUCACAAACUUAAUUAAAAUUAUAAUCCAAAUCAAAACCUAUCCAAACAAAUAUUUGGUGUAACUUAAGGGAUGAAUCGCACUAAUAUGACUCAAACAUAUUUUGAGAAACGUGUUUAAAAUGUGAUAAAUUUUUCCACAAUAUUUUAUAGCAAAUGGCAAAUAAUUUAAAGUUUCUUUGAAGCAAGAAUUAGGCAAAGAAGCAUGUAUAUAUAUACAUAUAAUGUAAUUAAAAUUUAUAUUAUAGUGAUGCAAAAUCGUUUCAUAAGCCACUUCAUCUCUCUCUGUUUCAUGGCAUCUUAAGUACACAAAAAGAGAAAAAGGGAAAAAGAGACCUAAUAUAAUAUGUGUUCUUUAAUUGGUGGAUUUUUAUUUAGCAUUAUUAAUUCAUCAAUCACCAAGAAUAUUUAUUCUCAACAAAGUUAUUGAAUGAUAUUAAAUUUACAAGAACUAAAUGAUAUAUCAUUUCGUUUCAUAUUAAAUUUUUGUAAGUUUAGAUAAUUUAUGAAAGUAGGUUUGUUAUGUUUAGGUUAACUAAACACAUACAUGUUAAAUUGAAUAUGUGUUUUAUCUUGGUCAAUUGUGCAAAGUGGAUCCGUGGCGCAAUGGUAGCGCGUCUGACUCCAGAUCAGAAGGUUGCGUGUUCGAUUCACGUCGGGUUCAAUGUCCAUUUUUUAUUUUAGUCAUUUGUGAUCACAAAUAAAUUUAAACCUCAUAAUCAUUGCAUUUUAGGUUAUUGUGUAAAGUUAUAAAACAUUACAAAGUGGAACAAGUAUUGAUAUGAUUUCGUUCCAAUUAUAAUUUAUUUUUAUAGUUUAAUGAGACAUACGAAAAAGCCAACACUUUAGUAUUUUGCCUCUUGAACUUUACUUAAGUUAUAUAUAAAAAAUUAAUAAUGUUGUUGACCACAUGCCUCCUCUUUAAUUGCCACUAAGGUACUACACUAUAGAGAAGAGCUAAUGAGUCCUUGUUUUCUAUAUAAGGAGAUGGAUGAAUGCAUUCUAAGCAUACAUUCCUAUCCAUGGCUAUCUCUAGAGUGUUGUGCAUUGGCUUUCUUCUUUUUGUAGGUUUAGGGUUAGCUUCGGCUACCCGAACUCUUCUUGAUUAUGAUCCACGUGCACGUCGUUAUGAUUACGAUCAUCCUACUCCAAGAGUAGGGUACGAUCCAAGUCAUCGUGAUCAAUCAUAUGAUAAUGCAUACAGUGGAAGUUCUAGUAAAGGAUAUGGAAUUGGAGACUCUACUCUUGGAGGUUCUGGACGAUAUGGAGGUGGCAAAGGACAUGAUUCCGGAUAUGGAGGUCGAAAUGAUGAUCGCAGUACUGGAUAUGGAGGUCGAAAUGAUGACCGCAGUGAUGGAUAUGGAGGUCGAAAUGAUGACCGCGGUGCUGGAUACGGAGGUCGAAAUGAUGAUCGCGGUGUUGGAUAUGGAGGUCGAAAUGAUGAUCGCGGUGUUGGAUAUGGAGGUCGAAAUGAUGAUCGUGGAGUUGGAUAUGGUAAUGGUGGUAGAUAUGGAAGUGUAGGAGGACAUGGUGAUGGUUAUGGUAACAAUGGUGGUGGAAGCUAUGGAGAUCGUUAUGGCCCUUCUCUUGGAGGUUCAGGAAAAGGAAGUAACAAUGGCUAUAACGAUCAUUCUCGUGGAAAUGGAGGACGUGACAGUGGCUAUGGAGAUUCACAUGGACAUGAAGGACGUGAGAGUGGAAAUGGAAGCGGUGGAGGAGUUAGUGGUGGCUAUGGUAAUGGAGGAGUACAUGGAGGAGAGUAUGAUAAUAGCAAAGGAAGUGGAGAAGAAGGGGGUAAUGAUGGUGGAUAUGCUGUCAAAAAUUCUAUCUCAAAGGAGAAUUGAGAAUUCCUCUUUUUCAAGUAAUGAACCCAAUAUCAUAUUAUGUUAACGAGAAAUAAAGAAAUUGGGUGAGAGAAUGUUGUGUUUUAAAUUUAUGUUGAAUUUUCUUUGAAUAAUUCGAAUCAAUAGGUACAAUGAUAAUCAAAUUUGGAUUAUGUUUGUUGUGACAAAUUGACUGUACCCUAUUUUGUUAUAUUUCUCUAUAGAUUUUUUUAUAUAUAUCCAUAUUAAUACGGGUGAUUUUGAACUGAAUCAAAUGACAUAAACAAAGAGAAAAAAAUAUUGUCUAAAAGUUUAUUUGUUAACACCUUAUAAUUCUUAGUAACUUUUUCAAUGAAUGUGUGAUAUUAUAAAAAUAAGUUGUUUCAUGGGAUUCCAAGGAUGGACAAAAGAUGCAUAAAAUACUCUAACUAAUAAAAUGUACACCAUUCCAAACGUGCUAUAUUUUAUGAUUUUCAAAGUUAAACUUUGAAACAAUCUUUUAACACCUUCUAAACACAAAUUAUUUAUCAUACAUGGUGGGCUAAUCAAGUCCAAACUAAUUAAUAGGUCAAACCCAUCAUUCCAAUUGUCUGCUACACGUAACUUAUAAAAAUUUUCAAGAUUUAGUUUGAAUAUUUUAAAUUCAAUGUUUCAAGUUUUUUUAACAAAAUUGAAAAAACUUCACCAUUUUCUUGAGAUUUUCUUAUUAUGAUUACAUCCUUUAAUUUGUUGAAUAAUUAUGUACGAUCUUGUUGCAAGAGAAUAAUAUAUAUAUAUUAUUAUAUUAUAUAUAUACAUACAUUCAUUCAUUUAGGUUUAUGUGGUUCAAAAUCUUUCUACCCUCAAUUAUACUUAAAAAGCAUUGGUUGCACUCUUCUCUUCCAAACCAUGAUAGUUUUUAGGAAAAAAAAGAAACAUGUUGAUGAAAGAGAAUUAGACUACGAUGAUCAUUCUCGUGGAUAUGAAGCGCGUGACAACGGAUAUGGGAGUGGUGGAGGAGUUGGUGGUGGCAGCGAAAAAGGUGGUUAUGGUAAUAGAGAGGUGUUCAUAAAGGAGAAUAUGAUAAUCGGAAAGGAAAUGGGGAAGAAGGAGGUUCUAAUGGUAGAUAUGCACUCAAAAUUAAUUUCAUCUAAUCAAAAGAGAAUUGGAAACUUUUUUUUAAGCAAUGAACCCAAUAUUCAUAUUAAUUGGGCAACAAAAAUAAAGAAAUUGGGUAAGAGACAACGUUGUUUUAUAAAUCUUAUAUGUCAUUAGUUUACUUUUUGGUGAAAGUAAAUAAUUUGGAUUAAGUAUGCAUUUGUAUUAGAACAAAUUGAAUCCAACCAUAUACACAUUAUUUUACUUUUUUAAUAAUAUUUUUUAUUAAAUUAGAUGGUUUUAUUUUAAAAUUAAUUGAUAAUUACGUGAAUAGUAAUAUGUAUAUCUUAUAAACAAUAAUGUUGAUCUCUUCAAUUUUUUAUAUGCAGAAUUAUCAACAUUCUCCACCUAAUGUUCUAGGUUAUUUUUGUAAUCAAAGUGUAACUCUCAGACAAAAACAAAAACGAAAAAACCAAGAAAAUAACUAAAUUUUCAUUUAAAAAGAGAAAAAAGAAUAGCAUAUCAAACAUCCAUCCAAAAUAAGCAUAAUUAAGGGAGAGGGGGCCUAUACGUCAAUUGCUUAGUCUAAACCAAGACUAACAAAUGCCUUGUCCUAUGAUAAAAUAUUUAUAUUUCAAAGAUACAUAUAUUUUCACUACAUCCAAGAUCAAGAGCCAUUGUAUUAUAACAAAAGAUUGUACAAAAGGGGAGUUGGGGAGAAACUUAGAGUCAUAAUGUUCAAAGAGAUCUAAUUAAUACUUGUAAAAUUUUAAGAGCUAAAAUUUUGUAACAGAGAUUGAGAGUGUAAUCGCAACAAAUAAUCAUACUUCAAUGGUUGAUUAAUUUAUCAAGAAAAGUUUUAAAAAAACAUUUAAUGACAGUCAACAUCAACCCUUUCACGUCAUUAAAAGAAAAUUGGAACUUUGCCCACAUUUCUUUAUUAUUUUGCUAUUAAAAAUUAAUUUUGAUUCAAUCAAUUUUUUAGUUAUCAACUACUAUUCUUAAAAAAAUAUAUAUAUAUACAAAAAUUACGAAAAAGAAAUAUUACUUCUCAAACAAGAAUCAUCUUAAAUAAUCAUCCUAUCCAUUUUAAAAAAUAUAUAUAUUUUCAAUAAAUUAAAUAAUAAAAUUAUUGAAAAUAUUUAUAAAUAUAACUAAAAUAAAACUCUAAAAUCGAUGGAGGAUGUAACUUAUGAAAGUCUAUUAGCAUCUAUCAUUAACAUAUUCUAAAAUAUUUUUGUAAAUAUAUUUUGUUUCAUUUUGCUAUACUUAAAAAUAACCUUCCACAAAUUUAAAACUCAAAUUAAUCAAAACCAAUCCCAACAAAUAUUUUGUAUAAUUUAUGCGAUGUGCAUAAAUACGCAUUUUCCCACCAUAUUUGAUAGCAAAUGGCAAAUUAUUUAAUGUUUGUUUGAAGCAAGAAUUAGGCAAAGAAGCAUAUAUCUAUAUAAUAUGUAACUAGAUCUUAUAUUAUAGUGAUGCAAAAUCGUUUCAUAAGGCACUUCAUAUCUCUCUGUCUCAUGGCAUCUUAAGUACACAAAAUGAGAAAAAGGGAAAAAGGGCCCUAAUAUAAUAUGUGUCCUUUAAUUGGUGGAAUUUUAUUUAGCAUUAUUAAUUAAUCAACCGUGUAAAAUAUGGUAGGAAGAAUUAUUCUAAUGAUGAAUGAAAAUUUUAGGUUGGGAGGUCCCAUAUAUGAAGCAUAUGAGAAAUUUUCAAUCUUAAAAGAGUGAAUUAUCAAAUUAAAUUUACAUGAACGAAAUGAUAUAUCAUUUGGUUUGUAUUAAGUUUGUUUAAGUUUAGAUGAUUUACGAAAAUAGGUUUGUUAUGUUUAGGUUGACAAAACGACACUGUAUUUAGAUGAUGGUGUAAAUUUUAACAUGUUAAACAUGUGUUUUAUCUUGGUUUAUUGUGAUCUAAUACAAAUAAAUAUCGUUAUUGAAUUUUAGGUUAUCGUGUAAAGUUGUAAAAUAUUACAAAGUGGUGCAAGUGGGAAAAUGGGAUCAAAAGGAGAGUAUUGAUAUGAUUUCGUUCCAAUUAUAACUUAUUUUUUUAGUUUAAUGAGACAUAGGAAAAAGCCUACACUUUAGUGUUUUGCCUCUUGAACUUCCUUUGAGCUAUAUAUCCAAAAUUAAUAAUGAUUUUUUAGCACGUGUCUCCUCUUUAAUGGCCUCUAAGGUACCACACUAUAGAGAAGAGCUAAUGAAUCCUUGUUUUCUAUAUAAGGAGAUGGAUCCAUGCAUUCUAAGCAUACAUUCCUAUCCAUGGCUAUUCCUAAAGUGUUGUGCAUUGGCUUUCUUCUUUUUGUGGGUUUAGGGUUAGCUUCGGCUGCCCGAACUCUUCUUGAUUAUGAUCCACGUACACGUCGCUAUGAUUACGAUCAUCCUACUCCAAGAGUAGGGUACGACCCAAGUCAUCGUGAUCAAUCCUAUGAUAGUGCAUACAGUGGAAGUUCUAGUAAAGGAUAUGGAGUUGGAGACUCUGCUCUUGGAGGUUCUGGACGAUAUGAAGGUGGUGGAGGACGUGAUUCCGGAUAUGGAGGUCGAAAUGAUGAUCAUGGUGUGGGAUAUGAAGGUCGAAAUGAUGGUCGUGGUGCUGGAUACGGAAGUCGAAAUGAUGAUCGCAGUGCUGGAUAUGGAGGUCGAAAUGAUGAUCGUGGUGCUGGAUAUGGAGGUCGAAAUGAUGAUCGUGGUGCUGGAUAUGGAGGUCGAAAUGAUGAUCACGGUGCUGGAUAUGGAAGUCGAAAUGAUGAUCAUGGUGCUGGAUAUGGAGGUCGAAAUGAUGAUCGUGGGGUUGGAUAUGGUAAUGGUGGUGGAUAUGGAAGUGUAGGAGGACAUGGUGAUGGUUAUGGUAACAAUGGUGGUGGAAGCUAUGGAGAUCGUUAUGGCCCUUCUCUUGGAGGUUCGGGAUAUGGAAGUGGAGGAAAAGGAAGUGGCAAUGGCUAUGAUGAUCAUUCUCGUGGAAAUGGAGCACGUGACAAUAACUAUGGAGAUUCUCACGGACAUGAAGGACGUGACAGUGGAUAUGGAAGUGGUGGAGGAGUUAGCGGAGGCUAUGGCAAUGGAGGAGUUCAUGGAGGGGAGCAUGAUAAUAGCAAAGGAAGUGGAGAAGAAGGGGGUAGUGAUGGUGGAUAUGCUUUCAAAAAUUCCAUCUCAAACAAGAAUUGAGAACUCUCUUUUAAGCAAUGAACCCAAUAUCAUAUUAUGUUAAAGAAAAAUAAGGAAAUUGGGUAAGAAUGAAUAAUGUUGUGUUCUAAAUGUAUGUUGAAUUUACUUCAAAUGAAUGCUAAAUUUGAAUCAAUGAAUUAUGUUUGGAUUAUGUUUGUUGUUACAAAUUGAUUCCACCUUUCUUUUUGUUUUGUUUCUCUAUACAUUUUUCUAUAUAUCCAUAUUAAUAUGGAUUGAUUUUGGACCGAAUCGAAUGACAUAAUAAUCUAUGCCAAAUAAGAGUAAAACCACAUAGCCAAGAAAAUGAUAAGAGUAAAAGGAAAAAUAGUAUGUACAAUGUAAGACAAAUAAUUGUGUCUAGGAGAAGAGGGUGUUACUCAAGCCAAUGCAUUUAACCUCGACAAGACUCAACCUCAAGUUGAGCCUAACAAAAUGUCUAGUUGGGCAUACCCUUGUCAAAAUGCAUCACUUUAAUUAAGACUAAAAUAAACAUAUAGAGAAGGGAGUUUGAGCUUGAUAGGUCGAGACCAAUCCUAGCAGAAUAUUAAACAGAACUUGCCCUUCACAUGCCUCAACCUAAGUGAGUUGAAAAGGUUAUCGUAUCGUACCUCCAAAACUCUAUUCGGACAUAACCUAACUAAUUAACUAGGUUUAUUUAAUUCUACAAAUAAAUCAUUAGAGCUCUACAGAAACAAACUCUAUUCUCACUCAAUUUCUUUGACAUUUUUCAACUCUCUCUAAAAGCCAAAUAGGCACAACCCUAAAUCCUUACAUCUUCAAACCCUGUGUUUUAAUUACUAUGGAUAAAAGAGAACACAAAUCAAAUUUUACUUUCUUAUAUUUAGAUCAUAUUUCUUUUGAAAUUCAAAGUAAUGGAUAACACAAUAUGCUUCCAUUUCUAAUUUAAAUGAAAAUUUCAACAUUCCUAAUUACUGAUUUAUUUACACAAAAUAGCCCAAAGUAAAUAACUAUAAGUGAGUUUUCUUUACUAUUAUUUUGGUGAGUGAAGAUACUAUGAGUUUUUAUAUCACUAAAAUGUGAUAAUUUUUCCAACCAUUAUUGUAUUAGCAAAUGGGAAAUAAAUUAUUUAAUAAUGUAUCUAUAAAGUGGGAAGAAUUAGGGAAACAAAAUGCAUAAUUAAAUAUGUAAAAAAACUAUAGUAAUGCUAUGUCGUUUCAGAAACCAUUUGAAGAGUUAAGGAAAAAAGAGGGGAAAAAAAGCUCUAAUAUAAUAUAUGCUCUUUAGUCCUUUUUCUUAAAAAAAAAUUAAUGCUCUUUAAUUAGUUUGAAAUAGCCAUAUAAAUUAAAUAUCUUCCUAAAAGGAAAGAUGGGUUCUCAAGAAAAAAUAUAUUUCAAUGCUUCUUUUUCUUUUUCUUUUUCUUAAUCCUUGUUGAUGAAGAGAAUUCAGGCUUAAAAAUGGAGAAUUUCAUAUUUUCUAAUAUUUUACACUUUUUUCAACCUCAUAAACAAAUUUUGAUUAAAUGGUUGUAGUAAAGAUACUUUUCUUUUUUUUUCACCAAAAACAGCUUUAUUUUAUUUUAAUCUUCUGUCAUAUUUGUAUCGAGAAAAUUAAAUAAAUACUAUUUUUUUUCAAUAUAUUUAAUUUCGUUUUAAAAUAAAGGGAAAAUCCCUAGAAAUCAUCACUUUUCUCUUCUUCUUUGAAGACCCUCUUCUUUUAUGGUAUAACUUUCAUUAGUUGUUCUUAAUAUGCUUCUUUUAACUUUAACUGUCAAAUAUAUAUAUACACAUACAACGAUAAUUUAUCCUUAAUAUCAGAUAUAAAGUUUUUUUUAUGCAUGGCUCUAAUCCAAAAGACUUCAAAAAAAAAAUUACCAAAAUGUAAAUCGAUGAUGAGAAAUUAAAAAAUUGAUAUGGCUAAUGUUUAAUAAGCUAGAUUGAUUGAUAAGUUACUCAUCCCACAAUUACUUGAUUUUGAGAUGAAACGUCAAGUUAUCUAAUAUUAUAUCGUAACUCGCGAAAACAUAAACGAACAUUCAGAUCAAAAAAAUAAAUAUUGGAGUCCAAUUCAAGAAUGAUGAACCCAAAGAGAGACAUCAUUUAUCAAUGGUGUGUAUACUAGCCAAGGAUCUUAUCAUGCUAGAAUAAUUGAGGGACCUUUUAUGUUUAUAUAUAAGAUGUAUAUGUUUCUUCUCUUAUAUUUUAUAUUGGUUUUAAGAUGUAAAGCUCAUGUUAUCUAAUAUAUGAUGUCGGUUGUUCGAAAAUUCGAUGUAAAAAUAGUAAAUAAUCGAAAGAAGCACGGAUCCCAAAAGGACAUAUCAAGGAAACCUCACACCAUGCAUCUUUAUAAGUCCCUCACACCAUGCAUUCAAAAACUAUAAUUGAGGGACCUCACACCAUGUCAUGCAUCUUUAUAACGUCAAUCAUACAUAUCUAUUAUUAAUUUCCUCUCAUAUGGCUCAUGAUAUACUACGUGUAACAAUUUUUCAUUGCCAAGAAAUUUCCAAAUUGUAAUAGUGGUAAGUUAUGAAAUGAUUUUCUUACAAAUAUCUUCAUAGAUAAAUUAAUAAUAAAACAUCAUGUGUGAACGGCAGAAUCCAAUUGACUGAAAAAUCAUUUUGGAGUAAUAUUAUCGGUUGUGAGCACAAUCCUUUGAUCUAUUUGGUGGGAAAGAAACAGUAGAACCUUUACUUGAGAAGCUAUAAUUCUUACAUUUUUAUUAAUUAUCAUAUUACUUCGUCUUUAUUUUAAAAAUAUUCAUACAAGACAUGAGAGAUUAGCAUAGGCAUUCAAAUAUCAAUACCUUUGAACAAAAAAGCUUUUCCUUGGCCCUAAAAAAGUUGUACAACAAUUAACAAAACACUCCAAUAUUAAGGUUAAUAGGAAGAAUGCCUAAACUUAACUAUAAAAAUUGUUUGGAACUACAAAACUAAGCAAACUAAGGUGGCUAAACUCAACAUGAAAAUAAAGAAGAGUAAUUUAAACUUAGAUAUUUAUUCAUGUCACCUAAACUUUUAAAGUCGUUUUUGAUUGCAUGCUCCUCUAAACUUUAUCAAAUCUUGCGAGAUCAUGUAAGGGGAAAGAUGGAAUCAACUUAGCCUUACUUUAAUUUAAUAUGUUUUAGUACCACAUGUCAACAUAAAAUAAAGAAAUUAGGUUAGAGAGAAGGUUGUGAUCUAAAUCUAAGUACAUUAAUUAAUGUCAAAUUUCAAUCCAUGUUUGAAUGAUAAACAAAUUUGGAGUAAAGAAUAUUACUCAACCAUACAUAAGUAAGACUUCAACUCUAAUUGAAAGGGGCUGACAAGUAUAGUUACUCCUAAACUGUCUACAAAUAUUAAAUAUUAUAUGAAGACAAUAAAGUUAAGGGGAGUUCGAGUCCCCUAGACCUAUACUAAAUCCGUCGGUCAUGGUGAUGGUGCACAACACUCAAUUGUUCAACACAACUAUGAUGAAUUUUUUUGUUUGUUGGGAGAGAAAACACUAAUAUGUUUUAUUUCAUUAAAAUGUGAUAUUUUUGUCCCAUGAUUAUUGUAUAGAGAAAUGGGAAAUUAUAUAUAUAGUGUAAGCUUCAAGUGGGAAUUAGGAAACACAUGCAUAAAUAUAAAGUUACGAUAAUUAUAGUAAUGCAAUGUCGUUUCAGAAGCCCAUUAUUCAUCCUCUCAAUUAUCUCAUGCAUGGUGGCUCUCAUCAAGUUGAGAAAAAGGAAAAAAAAUAGGCCUAAUAAAAUAUAUGUUCUUUGUUUCUUGGUAACCAUUGUAAAUUAAUCGUAAUAUAAAUAUCUUCUAAAAGAGAAAAAAAGAAGACUCUCAAGACAAAUUAUCAUGCUUCGUCAAUCCUCUUUUUUUUUUUUUUUUUUUUCCUCAAUCUUUAAUGAUAGAAGAAAAUUUUAGCUCAAUAAAAUUGAAAUUUUUGUAUUUUAAAAAAUUUAUGAUGUUUUUUAACACGUGUAUAUAUAUAUAAUGAACAAUAUAACAAAAUAUCACAUUAAGUUUUACUAUAUAUUUAUAAAUAUUUUUUUAAUUAAUUUUUUCACUUAAUUUAAAAAUAUUUUUUCUAUAUAAAUAUUAUUAAUAAAGAACAAUUACAUUAGCUUCUCUUUUUACGUAUAACUCUUACUUUGGAUUGAACUUUUAACUCUUGAAAAGAGCAUUAGUGAGCCAAUUAAUUCACUUUGACUACAUAACUUUCUUUAGUUGCUUAAUAUAUUUGUUUUGGUGUUAAACUAUCAUUAUAACAGAACAAUUAGGAUAGUUUUCAUUUUCGUGUAUAACGUUUUUCUAUGGUCGAUAUCUAAGGAAAUAAUCAAAAAAACAAAUGUACUUACAAUAAAUUUCAUUGUGUCAUAAAAUGAAAUUUCCAAAUUAUGUAAGUGUUAAGUUGUAAAAGUUGAUAAUCAAAUUUCAAUGUGAAAUUAUAUAUUUUGGAAAUAUCUGCACCAUAGACAAAAAUUAAUAAACAAACUUCUCAAAAUUAAGUGUGUUAAUUAUAAGAGAAUGCCUAAACUUAACUAUAAAAAAAUAAGUUGGAGCCAAAACUAAUUAGCUAAAAUAUUAAGGUGAAUUUAUCACAAAAAGUACAAACAAGUGAAGUAAGGUGGUGUUGCAUAAAGCCUACUGAUUUUCAACUUUGGCUUUCUAAAUUUGAGCUCCUCACGUUUUCACACAAAAGCUUCUCACAACCUUUGAAUAAGAUCCUCUCAAAAGAACAUCAACUACUGAUGUAUUAAACUAAUAAAGAGCCAGCCUAGUUUACUUGACUACUAGUAACAUCCUCAACAGUGACGUACAUUUAAUUUCACAAACAGUGCGUAAGGAUUAAGGUUAAACAAUCUCUCAAAACAUGCACACACAGUAUUUUUAACAGAGCUAAUUAACCCUAAAAAUAAACAAAACUCAUAAUAUAUAUGGAAGCUGAUCUUGAGCAGAUAGGAAAAAAGAUUAUCAAAAAGAAUAGAAAAACAAAUUAAAUCAGCAGGUUUAAUUUUCCCUACACGGUUCAAUAGAUUAAGAAAAAAAUCUUGAUACAAAAUUCGAAGGAGAAAUAUAGAUUUUGACAGAAAAUGUUACAAAACAAGUUGCUCAAGUUUUGCUUGUAACAAAAUCCGCCAAUCGUAGUACAGUAACACAUAAGCAACUAAAAUGACUGAUCUCAACAAGAAUGGAAACACUAGAUAUGUUACAAGAGAACAUGCAUAAAUACAGUUUGGUCUAAUUAAAAAAACAGUGUCUUAGAUAACACAAGAAGGUAGAAAAAUAGAUGAGAGAGUAAUCAAACUUAGCUGACAAAUAUGGAUAUUAAUGAAUUUCACCUGAACUUUAUAUAGUUUUUCUUUACUCUUCUCUAAAUCUUACCAAAUAUUGCAAGAUCGUGUAAGUGGACAAUGGAAUAAUCGUAAUAAUCAAUUGAAGCCUUACAUAAAAUAUCGAUGUGUUUUAGUACCAAAAUCGAACUUUAGUUAGUACCUAAUAUGACAAAAGGCCUCACUACGUAGUAUUUUGCCUCAUGGACAUCCAUGGAGAAGUUGAUGAACCCACCACUUUUUUUAAACAUAUGACACCCUCUUUACCGUGAAGGACACCAUAGAGAAGUUGAAGAGACCCUCCACCCAUUUCCUAUAUAAAGAGAUCAAUGCAUGCAUUUUCUUGGCAUUCUACUCAUUCUCUAAUUCUCUCCAUGGCUAUCCUUAGAGCACUGUGCCUUGCCUUUCUUCUCUUUGUACGGUUAGGUUUAGCUUCGGCUACUAGAACUCUUCUUGAUUAUGAUCCACGUACACUUCAAUAUGGCUAUGAUCGUCCUAGUCCAAGAGUAGGGUAUGAUCCUGGCCAUGGGGAUGAAUCCUAUGAUAAGGCAUACGGUGGAAGCUCUAGUAGAGGACAUGGAAUUGGAGACUCUGCUCUUGGAGGUUCUGGAUACGAAGGUGGUGGAAGACACGAUUAUGGAUAUGGAGAUCGACAUAAUGAUCGUGGGGUUGGAUAUGGUAAUUAUGGUGGUGGAUAUGGAGGUGUAGGAGGACAUGGUGAUGGUUAUGGUAACAAUGGUGGUGGAAGCUAUGGAGAUCGUUAUGGACCUUCUCUUGGAGGUUCAGGAUAUGGAAGUGGAGGAAAAGGAAGUGGCAAUGGCUAUGACGAUCAUUCUCGUGGAAAUGGUGCACGUGACAAUAGCUAUGGAGAUUCUCAUGGACAUGGAGGACGUGACAGUGGAUAUGGGAGUGGUGGAGGAGUUACUGGUGGCUAUGGUAAUGGAGGAGUGCAUGGAGGAGAGUAUGAUAAUAGCAAAGGAAGUGGAGAAGAAGGAGGUUAUGAUGGUGGAUAUGCUGUUAAGAACUCCAUCUCAAAGGGAAAUUGAGAAACCCUUGGCUUCUUUUUCUUAUUAUACUAUGCCAGCUAAAAUAAAAAUAUGGGGUAAGGGAUCAAGAAUAUUGUUAUCUAAAUCUAUGUUUGAGUUGCUCUUGUAAUGAAUGUAAUUAAUGAUAUAAACAAAAUUUGGAUUACAUUUUGUAUGAACCAAGUGAUUGGACCAUAUACACUUCUAUUCUUAUUAACUUUGAUUUGAGUAACACAAGCAAUAAUUAAACUUUUUUAUUUAUGACUAAUUUUAAAACUUGGGUUAAUAAUGAUGCAAUAUACAUGAAGAUGUGGGAAGAGAAAGGUAUACAGAGUGUGGUGCUCACCCCACACUCAAACUUUGAUGAAUUCCUUUUUUAUUUUCUUUUUACAUAGUUUUAAAAUAACUUGACAUUUACUUCACAAGACUAAUAUCCUUUUCUAAUACUCAUUUAAAUAGUUUUUGUCAUGACGAGAUGGAUCCCAGAGUUGAUUAGUUUUAAAAUUUUACCUUUUCUAAUAUGACAAUGCUAUAAUCUUAAAUCGGUUUAGAAAAUCUAUUUUAGUAAUUGGAAACUCCUUUAGAUUUUUUUAAAUUCAUAUAAUCGUGAAAAUAUAAAUUAUGCAGAAGAGGUUUAGAAAACAAAAUUCAUGCAAUAGCCAAAUUUGCACUUCCUUUGCUAUUAUCAUACUCUCCUAUUUUUUUGUGAUUUUUCAUUUUUAACUAUAAUUUUACAUAUAUGUGCAUAUCAUAUAUAUAUAUUGGACAUGGUGCAUAAGCACUUUGAGAUUUAUAUAUCUCUCUAUAAAACGUGAUCAUUUUCCCUCCAUUAUUAAUUAUAGUAUUAUGAUAUCAAAUGGAAUAGAUUAUGUCUCAAGGUGGGAAUUAAUUAUAUAUUUAGCAUUGUAAAUGCAAAGUAGUUUGAGAAAACCCAUUUCUUCAUCUCAAUGAUCUAAAUGACAUAAACAAAGAGAAAAAUAGUAAUAAUUAAACCUAAUAAAUGUAUAAUAUAUAUAUGUGCGUGUGUUCUUUAAUAUUUUUACCUUGGUAGGUUUUUAAUUAUAUGCAUUAUUAAUUUUAAUAAUAAAUAUAUUUAAUUAUUACACCUACACUUAAAAGUUUUUUAUUUGCCCCAAAUCUUGGUAGAUCUUUCAAGCAAGUGGAAGGAUUUAGAUCAAAAGGCUAACUUAAAUAAUUGAUAUGAAAUUAGUUCAAAUCUACUUUUGGCCCUAAUCUUCUCACACCAAAAUUAUAUUGUGUUCCCCUACACAAUAGGGCUGCCUCUUCAACCUCUCUAUGAAGAUGAAAUGUCCUUUUUUAAGGAGAUAUUCAUGGAUGAUGCAUUAUUCUAAGCAAAUCUCUCCAGGAUUAAUAUUCCUAUUGGAUUUCCUUUUUCUUGUGGGUCGAAGAUUGAAGUUUUCUCGACUAUAGUUCUUAUACACAUCACUACAAUUCAUUACAAGCAUCAUAUCCUAAUCCAAAUGUAAAAUAUAGGAUCGUAUUUAUUGUGGUUGAACAUUUCAAAGUGUAAGAAUAUGAACAUCAACCACAACCUCUUAGAUUGAUUGUGUUUAUAUAAUGCAAAGACUAAAAGAGAUAUCAUUCCAUAAACCUUUAUAUAUAUAUAUAUAUAUAGAGAGAGAGAGAGAGAUAUAUAUAUAUAAAGAUAAAUUAAAUAACAUAUAUAUUUAGAAUACUCUAAGACGUAAUAUAAUGUUGGUAGUCGCAAUGCAAAAUCAAAGUUUUUUAAAUUGAUUUGCAUGUAAUGAUCUCACAACGAUCUGUUUCAUCUCACUUUCAAACCCAUCAGUUCAUUAGUAUUGGGCCUUGAUUAGCUCUCUAACAAAGCCCAAUAGUGUACAUAUUCAUCUCGAUUUUUCUAUGUUUUCUACCUCACUUUAGUUGUGUUAUAGGUCUCACAAUUUAGUAUUAUUCUAGAAAGUAAACUCAAGACGACGUCAAUCUGAUUUACAUGCUGUUAGGACGAGAGAAUUUUAUGUACAAACUCCAUAAUAUUUGAUUUAAUUCACUUGUCGACUUUUUAUAAAUUUGUGACUAGAAGUAUAUAUCUCGACUAUCUUUUGAUCAAUUUCUACACAGUUCUGUAAAUUUGUAUAAGAUGGAGGUUAUUUCAGCUUAUAGCCCUUGCGAUUAUGUAUUGCUUAUCUAAUUUGAGUUUGAAUAUGAGAAGUGUAUUGUAAUUGUAUAUAUCCAGUUAAAGUGUAUAAUCAGAUUGCUAAUGUAUAUAUGUUAGUAUAUGAAGAGAAGAAGAAGAAGAAGAAAUGUAAAGGUUGUUGAAGCUAAGUGUGGAACAAAAGGAGAGAUCCACUAGAGGGAAGCAAUAUGAGAUAAUGGAUCGACCCCACACGUUGUUAUGAUUCAAAACACUAAAGACAAAGAGAUUUGGGGAUUUGCAUGUGGGAAAUUCAUAAAUAUGUCCAUUAUACUUUCUCUUUUGCUGCUGCUUUUCUACUUCAUAGUUCACACAAACCCUUCUUUCUCCAAACUUACCCAAUUAUAUGUCACCUAACUUAGGUUAAAACAUAUAACACUACGAACCUCCGAGUCUACCUCCAAACGUUACUGUUAUAUUAUCAAAAUCUUGUGCUAAUUUAGUCUCUAUUGACAUUUUAUUUGUAUCAUACCUUUGAUAUUUUACUGAUCAUGGGAGAGAUAUUUGCUCCACACGCUCCUAUAUAGCAUUUCUUCGUAGUCUCUUUUAACCGUUAGAGCUAUCAAAUAGUGGCUCUUUCUUUAGCAACGGUUGUUAAAAAUGUAUUUUUCAAUGGCACUCUAUCUAAAGAGGGGUGUAUAUGAAAUCACCAUUGUGGCAGCUUUUCUUUCCCCUUAUAAAAUGUGUCUUCUUUAACACACGUCUUGUAUGGUCCUAAAACAAGUUUCACGCAGGUCUAGUUUCACCUAACUUGAGUUUACUUCUAAUUCUCACGAUACAACACUUUCUAUGAGUUAAACUCUUCAAGAAAUAUCGUUCCUCCUAUAUGCUGAUCAUAUGAUUAGUAUAGAUGAUGAUCCUUAAGCUAUAUCGAAUAUGCAAUGUUGCCUUAAAUGAUUCUCUAAUUAGGACCACUCCACUAUUUCCUUGGCCUUUGAAAGUUUCAUCCCCCUCUAAUGGGGUAUUCAUCUCAAGCAAAAUAUACUAAUUCUCAUCCCUAAGUAAAUUAUAAAUAUACUUUUGAUCUCCUAGCUCAUUCUAGUAUAUUACUGAGACCUUUGUUGAUCACGUCAUCAAAGACUACUAGAACUCUUUUUAACUCCUUUUGAUAGUGCUCUUCUCGAAAAUGCAACUCUAUAUUGACAACAUACUAGUAGUCUUAUUUAUCUCGUUGUGGGUUGAUCAAAUAUUGCAUAUAUUGCUCAGAUUAUUAUUUGGUUGCUUCAAUGCUAAUUUUGUUGGUGAGGAUCGGUGUUCUCAUUUGGUGUAGAUAUAAAAAAACAAACUACAGUAUCUCGCACUUGGUAAUAUUAUUUCUCAGUUUUCAUAUUGGUUUCUUGGAGUGUUCCUCAGUAGUCUACUAGUUAUAUUUGUGUGACCAUCGUAGUGCUUUUUUAGAUUGCAAAUUGUGUGGUUUCUUCUAGAAACAUACCAAGCACAAUAAAAUUGAUUGUCACUUUGUCCAUCAUCAUCUCCCAAGCAAGAUCGUUCUAUCCCCACUAAAUCAGUAACCCAUUGAAAUCCUCACAAAAGUGUUAUCCCCCAAACACUUCUCUAUCCUACUUCACAAACUCAAGUUGGUGUCUGCCUUUUUCCACUCAUAACAAAAAAGCACCUCACAUCUAAAACUUCAACCAUUUUCAAGUUACAAAAUUUACUCUUCUACUGUGACAGCCCUUUUAAGAAGAAUGGGUUUUCAAUAAUAGAAAACAAAGAUAACAAUAAAAUAAAGUAAAAGAUUUAUAAGAGAGUGUGUAAUUUGAAAUCAAGUUCAAAUUCAAUUAAUACAUAACUCUAAAUAUUAUCAAACUAGCUGCCUACUCUCAUGAUAAACUUUUUGUUAGUUUUUCACAAUGUGAAAAAACUUGGAAUAGUUUAAUUAUUCUCAACAUUAUUUAUAAAGUCGGUGACCUAAUUUCUUACUAUAAUCAUAUCAACUAGAGAUAGAUAUAGAAUGAAUGUUAGUUCAUUAAUUUAAUGAUGAGUAGUAGCUAGGUAAAUGAACUACUAUGUAUUCAACUAUUUGUUGAAUGUCCCAUCAAUCCAUAUCUAACUAAGAAAAUAACAUAAAAACAUUAAGUUAAACAAGUGAUGAAAAAAUUUGUUAUAUAUAUUUAUUUUAUUUCUUCGGACGAUAAUUUUUUUUUUAUUUGUAUGGGUGUUCUAAACAUUUUCAAACUUAAAAGUGACAAAAAUCGGUUAAAAGAUUGGUAUGUAACUAUAUUAGUCAUAACUUAUAAACUUUAGCUUUUGGGUUGAAAACAGUUAUUUAUGUGGUAUCAGGACAAGAAAAUUGUGUAUAAACUCCAUGAUAUUUGAUUUUUGGUGUUAUUAUCACCAAGCAUGUCCUCUCUUUCCUAAAUUAAAAAUUUUGUGUUAUUAUCAUAUGAAAGUCAGGUAUGUUUUCUUAUAUUUAAAUUAUUGAAAGUGAAUUAGGUUAAAAGUUUUUUAUUUCCUUCUAAUUUUUUUUACUUAAUAAAUUGUCUUGGUAAUUUUUUUUUUAAAAUAAUCAUAAGAAAGAGCAUAUGUUGAAUUGGAAAUAUAUCAACUAAGUUAACAAACCCUUACUACUAUCUGUCACAUCCUAACCAAAAGAGAUAAUAUUGUCUUGGUAAUUUUUAACCUUCAAUUUCCAAUUCAUCACAUGGAAGCUAAACAAAGGGGUUAUGGAGCAUCAAUAGUUCAAGUUGGUUGUUUGGUAGAAAACACUCAUUGAGGUAUGGGAAACAGCAAGAGGCACACUAAUGGAAGUUGGGCCUUUUUUCCUUCUCUUUUUGCAUGUGCUUAUAGCCCACUUAGAAGUUGAUACUUACUCCACCAAUUCCUAUAUAAAGGGAUCAGAAGAUGCAUUGUAAGCAUAGGCCUCGUGUUUUGAGUUCCUAUGGAGAAUCAUAGAGUACAAUUCCUUGCUUUGUUUGCUUUAUUGGGUUUAGGGUUAGCUUCGGCCGCCAGAACUCUUAUUGCUUAUGAUGGCGAUGUCCAUGCCCCUGUGUUAGGGCAUACUUCUGUUGGAUAUGGUGGUGGAGAAGGAGCUGGUAGUGGAUAUGGAGUUAGCGUUGGAUAUGGCGGUGGUGGAGGAGGAGGACGUGGUGGUGGGGGUGGUUCUACAAAUGGUGGUGUUGGAUAUGGAAAUGGUGGAGGUGAAGGAAGUGGCGCUGGAUAUGGAGGUGGAGAAGAACGUGGUUAUGGCAAUGGUGGUGGUGGGGGAGGGGGAGGAAGUGGUGGUGGUGGUGGUGGUGGAAGUGGUGUCAGAUAUGGCCCGGUCGGUGGUUAUGGAAGUGGAGAAGGAGGUGGUUCUGGUGGUGGUUAUGGAGGCGGGGGAUCGGGUUAUGGAGGUGGUGGAGGUGGUGGCGGUGGUGGAAAUGGAGGUGGUAGUGGUGGUUAUGGUGCAGGAGAAGCGAGCGGAGGAGGAUAUGGAAGUGGUGGAGGACAAGGAGGAGGCUCAGGGAGCGGAGGGGGAGGGCAUGGAGGCGGCGGAGGAGGCGGUUGGGGAGGUGGGUAUGGUAGUGGAGGAAAUGGUGGUGGAUAUGGAAGUGGCGGAGGAGAAGGAGGAGGCUCAGGGAGUGGAGCAGGAGGACAUGGAGGUGGCGGAGGAGGUGGCUCCGGCGGUGGCUAUGGUGGUGGUGGAGGUGCACAAGGAGGAGGGUACGGAGGUGGGGGAGGGAGUGGAGGAGGGGGUGGUGGAUAUGCACCUUGAUUCUAUUUUAUUAUCUCAACAAAAAGGAAAAUAAUUUAAGAAGAAGAAGAAAGGUUAUAAAGAAGAGUACUAUUGAUUACAUUUUAUGUUCUUAAUAAAUGAAGUUUACUAUAGGGAUGAUAGUGAUUGAAGAAUGGGAAAUUAGGGACUCUUAUUUCAUUUGGAAACCCUUCCUUUUGAUCAUCUUUCCCUAAUCUGUAUUUGUAUUUUGUGUCAUGUGAUUUUCAAUUCUAAAUAUGCAAUUAAUUGUAAUUGUGAUUUACAACUUUUCCAUUCAUUUGUGCUCCAUCUAAAUGUAUGUAAACAUGAGAUUGAUGAUCACUAUAUUCAUUCAUCCAACAUACAAAUUCAAUCGUUAUUUUUACCGAGUUUUAAAUUUCACAUUUGCAUAUUGUUGAACUAAAAAAAUAUUGCACCAACUUAUAUCUAUGAAGUUUAAAAUGAGUUUCGAUAUCUCUAUACCUAGUUAACAAUAUUUGUAGAUCAAUCAUAUUUUUCAAUCAAUUAAAACCGUUUAUUUUUGGUAAUUUAUUAUGUAUAUAUUUGAUAUAAAGAUUUAAAAUACGAUAGAAUCGCUUAAGUCAAUCAAAACAUAGCUUAAUAGAAUACCCUCACAAUCUUAACUCUUUCUCUUACGCACCACUAAACUCAAAAUAAUAAUAAUAAUAUGAUUUAAUUAAUUCAUAAACAUCAUAUAAUAUCAUAAAAGUAUUAUUAUUUUAGUUUAAUAGUGAGUUUGGCGUAGUUGAAUUUCAGAAUAUUUUUUUUUGGCUAAACUAUUUAAUUAUAACUAUUUUUACAAAAAAAAAAAAAAAAUUGUUUUAACAUAAGAUACAUAUUAAAUUCACUGAACGUUUAAGAAUUCUUAAUCAUUCAUGUCUUUAAAUUUUGAUUCUAUUUCAAUCCAAUCACCAUUAUUAACCCGAUAAAAUUUACAACAAAGUAGAUCACUAACAAGCAUGAUAUGAGAUAAGAUUCCAUUAAUAACAUUAAACGUAUAUAGGAAUCAAAUAAUAUUUUGAAAAGACCUAUGAACCAAAUAAAAGUGCAGUACAAAUUAAAACAAAAACAAAAGGUUCGAUACUCAAACUUUUAUUAGUUUAAAAACAAUUAGAAAAAAGGAUUAAAUUUUAACUAAUUUAUGAAUAAAAAGAUUGUCUUGAAUCUAAAGUGGAACCACUUGGGAAUUCAGGCUCUCUAUUGAUCAUAUCAACACUUCCAUCUUCUCUAAGCAUCACCAUAUUUGAUUUUAUUUUCUUGGCAUAAAACGCUCUAUUACCUCUUUGAUGCCUGCCCAUUUGUGUUCUUGUUUUUGUCAGUUCAUACAAAUAUAUAAUAAUUCCUUUUUUUCUCAAUAUCAAAUAAAUCACUAGACUUUACUGCUGCCUUCAAAAAUUGUGAAAUAUACUAAGAAUAUGACUUUCUUUAAAAAAAAAAUGUUUUUUACAGACAAAUGAAACAAACAUAAAUUUCAAGAACUAAUAAAACCAAUUUUGUUAUCUUUACUCAAAAGCUAAGGAUGGCAAUGAAAAAAUAUAUAUAAUAAUAAAUUAGAUUUAUUCAACUUUGAUAUCAUCACUCACUCAUCUUUGUUUUUUUCUUUUUUUCUUUUUUUCUUUUUUUACUUUCUCACUUUUUAACAAUAGUUCAAAACUUUAGCUAACGUUUAAGAAAAUAGAUAGAUGGCUCGAGAAUCAACUAGUUUAGAGCAAAUUCAUAGCGACAAGAUUAGAAAUUGCUUAAGAAUCGAAUCUUUGGACAAGACUAUAUAACUGUUUUAGUUGAAGAAAAUAGAGAAACGAAUGGUUGAGACAUGAGAGACAAAAUGUUUUGAAGUGUUUUUGAAAAAGUAUUUUAUAAUAAUAAGAAGAAGAAGAACAAUAAUGAUAAUAUAAUAAAAUAAAUUAACUUACUUAUCAAAUACAACCCAUGUUGCAUGAAGGCUUGAGAUUUGCUCAACAAUAAGCAAUCUAAGUGGAUGACCCAUUACUACUUUCUUUUGUGGCACAACCUGAGAAACAAAAAGAAAAAAGAAAAAGGUAAUAAUAAUACACUGAUUCAUUAAUAAAAUAUGCUUUGAAAAUAUUAACCAAAAAUGUAUAUACCCCAUAUUUCCUACAGAGUGAUACCACAGCUUCAAGUUUUGCAUAUUUGGCUUCACUAAUAUACUCUCUUUCCACUCCCUCAAAGGACAUCUCCUCCAAAUUUAUUGGCCAAAUAUCCAACCAAGUUUUUGAUGAAACUACAAAAAUUCAUUUAUGUAAUGAUAUUAAGAAAACGCUAGAACAAUCAUACAGUUCGAUGUUAAGAAAAACAGGUAAAAAAACUCACGAGGAAUAUUGAGCCACGGCAUUGCACCAACAAGAGUAACGAUGCAACCAGGCUUAAUGACGUUGUCCAAUGCCCACUUAAGUGGGUCCGUUGUGAACUCUUCCAUUCCAUCCAUGACGACCACUACAUGUCUACUUGCAGCCUCUGAUGUUGAGCUCAAAGUCGGUGUUGGUGUUGGUGUUGGAGUUGGAGUUUGAGUUGGGGUUGGGGUUGGCGUAUCAUCCUCCAUGUCUUCGUUUCCAGCCCCUGCCAUGGCACAAAAAAUGAAAAUAAGGAAAAACAGUGUUGAUGGAAGACUACUUAAUAAUGUUUUCUAUAUAAUUCUUGUUUAGCUGUCUUGAGCAUAUUAAAUAACAAGGUUCGAUACUUACAAGAAUAUGCAUUGUAAUCUGCUCAACAAACCAACAAACAUCUCUAACAAUCAAUAUCUUCCAUCGAUUCUGUCAAAAUCAAACUCUUCCUACACUCAAAGCUCCAAAGUGAUGUGAUCCUUAUGCUAUUGAUCAUAGUUAUCAUCUCUAAAUAUCAGUCAAGUUACUAAAGAAAUUGCUUUAAAACAAAUUGAAACAGAUCGUCAUCAGAUAUGAAUUUGAUUAUAUAACAUGUCAAGCAUCAGAGUUGAAAAUGUUCUCUAUACAGAUUGAAAAAGCGUUGAUCGACUGAGGUCGAAUACAAAACCUGGACUCUUAUGAUAGCUAGAAAUAAAUUUAAAGGUCUUCCAUCACCACAUAUUUACCUCUAAAAAAAUAGCCUAAACAACUUUAGAGAGGGAGGGUAAAAAGCAAGGGAAACUAAAAAGCAAAAAUCUAUCAACUUGGCUUGCUACGGUUUCGGCUGCCAUGAAACGCAUCACAGAACUAUACUUGUUUUGCGACGAGUGUUAGGCGGGCUUGACCUUUUACAUGGUAAUGACCUUAGUCUCUUCUUCUUGUUCAAAGAGGAGCCUUCACUCUGAGAUCCCAAUAUAGCAGCAAUCAUUUUCGACCCUCUCGAACCUGGCAUGUUCUUCUUAACGUACCUCAUGGCUGCUUUUCUUUCAGAAUCUUCCACACCCUUAUUCAAUGGGCUUCCAGAUGUUGAGCACUUUUCUGUCUUCAGAUGAUCAACUGGGAUUCGGUAUUGUGGUUCUAAACAAAGUACAAAAAAUUCCAAAUAUUAAAUAUAGUCCAACCAGCCAAAUAUUAAACAGAAAACAUAUAGAGAUUAAAACAAGAUUUUACCUGGAGUACGGAAGACAUUAUCGGGGCUGGGAGAUCUCACUGGCGAUAGAGGAUGAAAACCAUCAAUACUUUCAUCUUCAUCAUUCAAACAGAGAUCCUUAGUUACAAUGGGAGAAGACUUCAUUGUUGCACUCUCAACUAUAUUCAAGUUAGCAGAAGUAGCAUUUUCCAAAUCACUGACACCAGUAUCUUGAUUCUCCAUUUCACAGGAAAACCGAGCAGGACUUGGUUGCAAAGUAUCCGCAGGUGCAUUUGCAGAUUCGUGAUUGACUUUAGACUCAGCAGCAAAUGAAGAGCAACCAGUACCGAUAUUUUGCAAAACCGACUUGGGAGAUGGAUUUGAGGAAUCUGAAUUCAAGCAAGGAUCCGAUCGUUGAAUUAAACUUGAGAACCAUGAAGUCCCCUUCCUCUUAUAUAACAAAAUGUAGGCCUCACGUGACAGCACAUACUCUUCAGUGACUGAAGUAACCUGAAUAACAUCAAAACCAGAAAGUUUUUUUGCUUCAGUAAAAGCUUACCGCACUUCACUAAAUCAAUGGAGAAUCAGCAGCUCCAUCAAUAGAAAAAGCACAUAACAGAAUUCCAGUUAAGUUAUAUCAGCACCCUCUUGAGGAUUAAUUAUCCUCAAGACCAAAACGAGUGCAACAACACAUCAGAUCAAUAUAGUAACUCAAAAAUAAGUAAUUGCUACUAUAAUUUCAGAAAUGGUGAUAUGAGAUACCAAAAGGUUCUACUGAUAUACAACCAAAAGCAAGGGGCCAAAUGCAGGGAAAGAAGAAAACGUGAAACAAAUUACAACUGGGAAGGAGAAUAUGAUCACUAAUUUAGUCGUCGCCAUAUAUCUAGCACGCUGCUAAAUCCCAGCAGUAAGUUGAAAAACUAAACAAAAUUGAAAAAUACUUCAUAAAUGUUAUACCAAUGAGUCGUCCAUUCUGUGCCAUGUAUCAGGAGAGGAACGAACAAAGCUGAAGUAGUGCCCAGAAGUAGAGGAAAACCCUGUGUGUUCCACAAUGGCAUACAAUUCAUAUUUGAGUUCCACCUGUUAUCGUCAAAGGGAAAAGAGAGAGAACCUCAGUAAUGAACCUAAACCAAUUGUAGGGCAAAGCCAAAAACAAAAAAUAUUACAGAGCUCAAAUAUUCUACAUUUUCAAGAUACUGAUGACAAUUCUUGUACAAACUUUACACCAUGAGGUAAGAAAAGUUAGAUAUUACCUCUGCAUCCUUGCCUCCCAGGGUGUACGGCUUCAAAUCUAACUCUAAUGGAAACUCCAAGUGCUUUUCGAUUUUCUCAACAAAAGAACUAUCAGCCUUGAAUCUCUUUAAGUGGAAUGUAGUAACCAAAGGGAUUUUUUCCAGCUUAAGCUGCUUCUCCACCCACACCUCCUCUUUGCAGUUUUCACACUUAAAUUUUGUUUCUGGAUCGCCAAUUCUCUCCACCUUGGUGAAAGAUUCCAGAGCACUGGAAAGGGAGUCCACAUUCUCAAUCUCCAAACUCAAGUCAACCAAAGGCUCAUGGGUUUCGGAACAAUGGCCACAAUUACAGCAGCAAAGCUGAAUAUGACACAAAUUGUAAAAAACAAGACACUGAAGCUCAAUACUUAAAAACAAAACAGUAAAGAUCAUUUUCUUACAUUGCUUAUGAGACGACCACCAAACACCUUAUUCACUAGAUCAUCAUCCUCUGAAGAAACUCGAUCCUUUCCUUCUGAAACCAUGCAUCUUUCAAGUUUAUCCAAGAAGCACUGCAUGAACUCAUGGGCAUCUUCCUGCUGGUAUCUCCAGAAAAAGGAUGAGAAGUCUAAUGCUAACUUAAGAAUAACAACAGUACAGCAAAGUUCUCAAAAGAUCAAAUAAUAAAACAAAGUACAAAAACAACUGCAACCUCCGUAACACGCAAGACCAUUUGUAUCCAAGUACCAUUAAAGAAAACCAACUAAAAGCAUGUUUGGAUUGACUUUCUAAGUGUUUAAAUAAAAGUAUAAAAUAAAUGUUUACAAUCACUUAGAAAGUCAGUCCAAACAAAACCUAACACACUGUGGUUAUCUUAAUCUCAGAUUUGCUCAGAUCGAGAUGCAGCUUCUUUGAAGCAAAUACAAAAUUCCUAACAAGUUAUCAUCACAUCAUACAAGGUACAAAAGGCACUAAUUAAAAGAAUUUUUAAGAAAAAAAAAUAUGGUGGAAAAUGAAAUAUAGAAAAGGAUACAGUUCAAGUUAUCAACAAGUUUCACUGGUGAGAUAAUCCCACCCAGAGAAGUUAAGGAGAGCUCGAUAUGAUCUCGAAUUGCACAAAAGACACAAAAACCUUCACCUGUGGAUGCAAAUUCGUAAUUCUUCAUCAACUACUGAGUCAUUAGAACCUAGAAACAGAGAGAACGUAUUGGUAGUGACAGUGAUCUUACUGUUACAAGGCAUAUCAUGAUUAGCAGAUCGAAGACCCUCCACAAAUGGAGCAGUAUGAGUGAGGCACUGCAAGAUUGCGUUAAUAAAACAAGUAUUCCCCAAAUUUGCAAGUCCCGCACCCUACGAAUUCAGAACAUAACCAAAACCAAACCCCAAAAAGAUAAAUAAAUGGAAAAUAAUAUAUCAAUUGCAACCAAGUAUAAAGAACUAAUUGAAAAUUAAGCUCACCGCAGAUAGAGAUUCGGUUUCUUGAGCAGACACGGAAUUUUCUGGGAAAGCUUCCUCUGAAGUAGACCACUCCAAAGACGAUCCCGGCAGAGGAGGCAAUGCGUCGAGUCCAUCAGAAUCAGACGAAUAAGUUGAGAAUGGCGAAGACCCAGUAGGGUUUAUCGAAGAAGAACCCCAAGACUGAUUAGCAGAGGCAUCCAUAGGCGAAAAAGAAAAAUUGCCGUUACGGCAAGAGGAAGAAUGAAGUAGAGAUUGUUGAGUUAGGGCAUCUUCGGUAGUAGUCGAGUGCCAAGACCCGGCUUCAAUUCCCAACGGAGGAACCAAAAAUGGAUCAAGUUCUUGAGAAUCAACCAAAUGGGUAGCCAUUAGAGAGAAUAAAACAAGAUAAUUAGAGUGAAAAGAAGAGAAAAACAGAGGUGGGUAUUGGAGAAGCAGAUAGAAAAGAAAGGGGGAAGAAGGUUUUUGGAUGAAAUUGAAGAGGGGGAAUUGGAAAAGAGAGAGGGAAAACGAAAAAGAAUCGGAAAAGGGUUUUAAUAUAUGGAUUUGAAAAGGGAGGGAAAACUCAAAAACUCCCAAAAAUUGGUCCUUUCCGCUUCAGAACAAAAAAGGGGAAAACGAAAAAAAAAUGAGAGGGAAAGAGAAGAAAGAGACGCGGAAGACGAUAAUGGUGACUGUUUCAUUUUCGUUUUUUAAUUCCUUUUUAAACACUUUCUUAAUUUCACUCCAAAACUCAUUCUAUUUAGGGUUUAAAUUCACUCACUCCCAACAGCUUUCGAUUUUUAUUUUUAUUUUAAAUAUUCAAAAUUAGGGUUUCUAUUUUACUUAUAUUUAUUACAUUUCAACUCAUAUAAUUCUAUUUUUUAAACUAAAUUAAUUUAAGCAUUGACUUAAAUUUAACUUCAAACGUUGCAGGCAUUAAAUUGAAAAAUGUGAUGAUUUAGUGGUUUAGUAGAAAAUUUUGUUGUUUCUCCUAACAUUUUGCCUAUAAUGAAGAAUCAAACCUCUAAUUUCAAGACUUGAUAUUAUUCAGACUUCAUGAAUCAACAAAUUAACUUUGUUUAAAACCAUUUUCUAAACUCCAUAGACUAAAUAAAUGUGUUUAUAUAAAAUUAACCAACCAUAGAAUGCAUAGGCUAAAUUCAAAAAUUCAAUGAAAAAGAAGUAACAUAAGAGAAUUAUGUAUUAGUUCUUUAAAUAUAGCACUCAAAUUAUUACUGAAACACAUACAAUAACCUCACAACUAUAACCAAAACUCAAUACAAAUUCAGGUCCUAAGCUCUUGUGAGAUAGGAAUGCCAAAUUUUGGUGGAGAAAAUACGGUAUGUAUUGUUUUGUUUGCUACAAAAAAAAAAAAAAAAAAGUAGAACUAAAGCACAUGUUCACUGCAGCAGCUAGAAAAACAAAAGAACCACCAGCGAAUGUUCAAGUCCUGUGUAAAAGGGUUGCUUUUUGAAAGAAUCUUUAUACUGAAAUUUCUUUACAUUCCUCAGUAAUAAAAUCCGCUGGUAAUAAAAAAAAACGUAUCGAGUUCGAGCCAAAUUCUACAAUGAAAAGGAACACUUGAAAAUAAUCAAAUGAUUCUGUCUUGAAGAUCUGUAAUUAAUGUAGAUGCCAAGGAGCUUAGCUUCUUCCCUGUUUCUCCUGCAAUGUUCUUGAGAGAAGAAAGAUCCUGCUGUGCCUGGACAAAAGUAAAUGAAUGUAUCACAUAUAUGUAAUACAAUGCUAAGGAAAUCAUGAACCCAAGCACAAUUGCACAGUUUAACAAGGAUUAGUAUAGAACCUGAAUAGAAAGCCGGUUAAUAAACUCAGUUGCAGUAAGAUCGGCAGAAGGAUUAUCUCGCUGGUUACCAAAUAGAUCGGCACUAGAGAUGGAAGCUGAGCCCUGCGAAUAGAAGGAUGGCAAGUAAGGGGAAUGAAAGCACUAUGAUUUAAUUUAAACAGUCAGACAUAUCAGCAAUAUAAAGAACGGUUUCCAUCCAAUCUGUGGAAAGUAUUAACUAAUAUAGCGCUUAUCAUUCAGUACCAAAAGUUGAAAAUGCAGUCCCAAAGCCUCAUCAUAAAAACAGAAACGGACCGAACACAGUGUUUUUCCCUUUUUUCUUUAAUACAUUUUAUGGUUUAUGGUUCUUUUUUGAUUGAGCUUUUACUUACCUUCAUCUAGAGAGGGUUUUUUCUCGUAACAUGUACCAAAUGUGUCCAAAACACAUACUUAACAUGUCAGGAAAUUAUAUAUAGCGUAAACUAUAAAUCCUUGAUAAGGAAAGAAUCAGAAUAUAGAACUUCCUUUUUUUAAAUGAAAACGACAACUUUCAUUGAGAAACAAUAAAAGAAUACAAGGGCACAAAAAAAACCAGGCCACAAAACCACCCCAUUAAAGAAAGAGGGACCAACUAAAUAAAAUGUUUGUCUAUAGAAUAUUUACAAAAGUUCUUCGAAACCGAAGCCCAAAGAAACACGUGAUAUCUAAUCAAAGACCAAAUCAGAAUAUAACACAUAAAAGAGUUCCUGCUCUAUCAUGAAGGAUUGAAUAGUCAAAUGGUAAGAGGUCUGUAUAAAUAGCAUAACUAGAAAAGUAUGGACAACAAUUUCCACUUAAUUAACGAUAAAGGCAAAGGUACAAACCGAGAAUUUUUGGAGGGAGGCCUGAGCAUCAGCAUCAGCUCUGUUCUGAUCACCAAAGUAUUGGGCUGAUGAUAUAGAUUUGGCAUUGGAAAAUUUCUUCCUUGCUUCGUCACUUUCUUCAAUCUAACAUCAAUCAUGUUGUUAGAACAGAGAUCAAAAGAGGUAGAGACAUUGAUAUGAUGGACCCAUGUGCGCAACCAGCAAAAAUACUCUUUAUGCUUGCCAUUACUUAAGAAAUAAGAUUUUUAUUUAUAGGAAUUUUGAUGGGUUCUUUUCAGAUAUGUGCAGGUUUGUGACCCUCGUGUAUACAAAAGAGAAUAAAAUGUAGAAAAUGAUAGAAAAAAUACAGAAACUACAAGUAGCACCAGAGUAGAACAUAGAAGAACACCAUCCACUGCUACGUAAAAUUGCAAAGGGAUGUUCACAAAAUUUAUUCAAAGCAAGAAACUUCCCCAGAAAACCCAUUUCUACAAUACUUGUUUAGAGUAAUUCAUUUUUUGAGUACCAAAAGUAUACUCAAUCAAGAACACUUCAUACUCAGACACCAAACCGCCCAAUUACAUUUAAAUAAACCAAAAGAUGCAAAAAGCUAUUUACUGAUGUAUAAAGACAUACCAAAUAAUUAUCUAAGACUAAGGAUAAUCAUCGUUAUGGAACAAUGGUCGGGUGACAAAUAUUAAUAUAAUUAGAUUAUUCUUAGGAGAUAUUAUUCUGGAGAUAUUAUUCUGGAGAUAUUAUUUGAUAUUAUUUCCUUAAGUGUAUUUCUCUAUGGUUAUAUAUAGGCUUGUAUCUCUAUUAAGUAAUGAAUGAAAUAUAGAUUAAUUCCAUAAAAUCAACAUGGUAUCAGAGCUCUAGGGUUUUCGCCUUAUUGAAUUCUAGCCUCCACAUCCCGUUUGAUCUCUGCCUCCGUUGAUCAUUCAUCAACGGAGGCAGAAUCAUCUCCCAUUAGCUGAAGCCGCCCCUUAGAUCUGCAAAUUUGCCGUUGUCGUUGCACCUUCCCUUUGUCACUCAUUGCUGUUCAAAUCUGCCACCAUCCAAACCCCAGAAACCCCAUUCGUUUUUCACUAGCGUCUGCGGCGGCCAUCUCCUUCAUAGUUCUUCGUCCGACCUCUUGUUUUUCCGUUAGCCAAGCAACCGAUUGAACCUCUGUCAGUUGAAGCCGAACGCCCAGCCGAAGAGUUUCAGUUUUUUCCGUCGUCCAAGAAGCUCCGCUCGCCGCUGCGUUUCGUUGCCGUUGCUCCAUCUCCUUACGCUGUCCCAACAAAACCAUGAAACCCCAUGAAACCCCAUGUCCUCAUAUCCUCACGUCUGCCUCCAAUCUGUUCCAGAUCUGUCUAAUUUCGUUCAGACCCAUCCUUCAUGUCUGCCUUCAAAGUUUAGAUCGAAGCCCAGAUCCAACGACGCCUCGUUUCUGUUUUUGUUCAGAUCCGCUAAGCCUCUCUGCUCCAUUCAGUUCAGCUCCCGUUCUGUUCUCCCCAGAUUUCCCGUUUAAUCUGAUUCUGACUUGCUCUAGUUUAGUUCGUUCUGUUCCACUUUGAUCCGACAAAACACUUCUGUCCAAUUCCGACCCUGUUUUCGUCCAGCUUUGAUUCUACUUUGCUUCAGUUUUGCUCUUUCAUUUUGCCCCCCGAAGUUCUUGUUUCGUUCUUCCUAGGUUCUGUUAUAGAUCUCUAUACGAGGAUCUAUGUUUCUAUCCCGGAAGUUUUUCGUGGGUUUGUUUUAACCUAGAAGUUCUUUGUCUGUUUGUUCUUCGGGUUUUUUAUUCUAUUCUAGAUAUAUUGUUUCUUUUCUUAGUUCUUAGCAAACUCAAGUUUGUGAUUUCAACCUUGAAUUUGAGGGAGGGUAUUAAUAUAAUUAGAUUAUUCUUAGGAGAUAUUAUUCUGGAGAUAUUAUUUGAUAUUAUUUCCUUAAGUGUAUUUCUCUAUGGUUAUAUAUAGGCUUGUAUCUCUAUUAAGUAAUGAAUGAAAUAUAGAUUAAUUCCAUAAAAUCAACGUUCGGGUGACAAAAGCAAUGAGCUUCGGAUUUACAGCCUACAUUAGACAAUUCCUCACAUUUCUUUUCAAGGCUGAUUCAGAGAAGCAUGCCAAAAUCAUUGAAAAAUCAGAAGUACAAUGUCUAACCUGCACUUUUGAGGAACUGGAACUGCCCUUCUUUGGAAAACCACCAUCCAUUCCAAAUUCAGCAAAGAAGCCCGAUGCCUUUGGGGGAGCUACAUGGCUAAGUACAUGAGAGCCACUAGAAUUCACAUCAGAUGAUUGGACAUUUUCUACAUAUUCAAAGCGAGAUGCAAAAGAUGAACCAGUUGCAGCAGUUUUGGGUGCUGUUGAAGAUGAAACUGGAACUGUAGGUUCUUCAGGUUUCUGAUCAUAUAGAUUUUCACUUGGCUGCAUGGAGUAAUGCAAAUUAUAAAGUCAUGGAAAAUGUAUUUCAAAAUCUAUAUUUAAUUGAGGUCAAGAGAAAUUUCGAACACUAAUACAUGAGCAAUAUAAGGCCACUUCACAUUGGUAGAAUGCAUUAUUAUUAUUACCUUUGUAGUAAGCUUUCGAGCACCAAGUCCCCCAGUCUUCCCUGGUUUCUUCCCACCAAUGGGCUUCUUAACAGUACUUGAGAAUACCGUCUGAGAAGCUUUUGGUGAAGCAGAAAUUUCUGGAGCCUCUUGCUUUCCUGAGACAUGGUCCUUUGCAGUUUCAUUAGUUUUGAUAUCAGGAGGUCCAUUUGUUACUAGGUCUGACUGAGAAGUAACUGGGGAAGAUGGCAAUGCCGGCUCUUCUGCCAUACUUUUAGCAACUUCUUUCGAAAGUAAUUGCCUAUACAACUCAGCAGCUCUAGAUGUAUAUUUGGCCUCAAUUUUGCCUCCAUCCGUCCAUCCAUGCUGCUUAAAGAAAACCUGUGCUCGGUUAUUCCCUCCAAAGCUCAUUGUUUUAAGCUGCUCCACACUCCAAGAAUCUAAAUUUGUGGACCUACGUAAAUUGAAAAAACAUAAGAACAUUCAAUACUAACCAUCAUAAGGGGAAUUGUACCUUAAGAGACUUCUCAAAAUAAUUACAGGUCAUAACCUUUGAUCGAUUUGAAAUUCUAACUAGCAUGUUAAGCAAACCAACAGGACAAGCAAAGAAAUAAGAGAUAAAGUGCCCUGAGAAUUUUCCAGAAGGCAACUAACAGUUAGGUACAUAUAUGUAGUCCUUUCUCUAAGGCCACAGAUUUUACCUCAUUGGUGAGUAUAGAAGUAAAAAAUGUCAUUUAAUAAUUUACACCAAGAUUACUUUAAAUGCCCAAAAAAGAAUGCUUUGAUUCCCUCCGUUCAUGCAAUGAUGUAACUAGUCUUUUCAAAUUCCACUUGAGUACAACUACUUCUCACUGAUAUUUGCUUCAUUUAAUUUAAUCAUAAACUAUUCACUAUAGUUCUAGAAAACAUUGAACCUUUACUUUACUAUAAAAGAAAAAACCUUUUAUUAGAACCCUUUGGGUAAAACUUUCACUGUUUUUUUUAUUUUAAUGGAAAUAACUAGAUCUACAGAAACAUCACGUUAUACAUAAGGCAGAAGGACAGAGGAUCAUUCACAGCCUCAGGUUGGGGAGAGCACAAGAUACUUAUCCAAAGUCUCUAUCUUUCAUUAAGAAAAGAAAAGAAAAGAAGAAAAAGAAAUUGUAUACUGCAUAACUUUCCUGUAUAGAUAAAUAAUCAGUGCAGUGCAAGCCAAACCUCGUUCUCAUACAUACAGAUAUGUGUGCAUGUACACUAUCACAAUGACUAACAGAUCUAAAAAUGUAGUUCUUUGUGAUAUUUUAUAAUUACACUUUUUUAAUCUUCUCGACUAAGAUUGUAAAGACGACACACCAGACUUCCAUUCUUCUGACUGAAAAGAAACUACUAAAAGCUCAAGUGCAUGGUAAAAAUUGGUUAUUAACAUCAAUAACCUUUUGAUAAUGAUUCGAACUUACCUUUCUAUUUAUGAAAACUAUGUUUUCUUCCUCACAAUUUAUUUACAAUGGUUUCCGCUCUUAUAAGAAACAUUUGAGUUCUUAGUUUAAGUUCCAAAAAAGUGUUAUUGCACAAUAAAGCGCAUUAGUCUUCUGAAGCUUAAGCGCAAGGCGCAUUGUGAGACGCACUAUAUAUAAAAGUACUAUAUUAAGAAAAAGAAGCAUGGUUGAAGUGAAAAUAUGUAAAAACAGACGUUUAAACACAAGAAAAUUUUCAUUUGUGCUUAGUAAAUUUGAUUUUUUUAGUUAAUAAAGGAAAAACACUAAUUAUUUAUAUUUAAAAUAAAAACCCAUGGCACAGGCCUUUGAGCUUCAGGCGUGCCUUAAUUUGUGAGCCUCUCCUUUUCAAGACGAAGCACAAGGCCUGCACUUUCAGCCUAGGCGCACACCCAGGAGGAUUUUUUAAAACACUAGUUCCAAAAAUAAAAACUAUUACCAAAAAGAAAAAUCUACAUUUUUAAGUUUUGAAAACUUGGCUUAGAUUUUAAAGAAAAAAAAAAUGAUGGAAGUAGAUAGCAAAAGAAAGAAACUCCAUAACUGGAAGUAGUAUUUGUAAGCUUAAUUUUCAAAACUCAAAAAAACAAAAACCCGUCAUUAAACAAGGUCUACACUACUAUUGUAUUUACAAAUGCACGUUUACUUGAUUUUCAAAUAAUUUACAUCACUUUUCAUGAGUCUAGUUUGAGGAUUCUAGAAAAUAAUCUAUAAGCAUCUACAAACUACGACCCAGACAUACUGAGAUACAAGGUUAAAAGAAUUUACAUGAACCCAUCAAACAUAAGUGCAUGUUAGAGCGCAAAACAUGGCUAACAAGUAGGAGGACGGGGUUUAACAUAAAUAACUAAACAUAUAGAAGAGGCGUGAGAAUAAGACACUAUCAACACAAUGCACUUCCAAAAACUACACAUACCCAAUCAGGAAAAGAAACAUAUAAGAAAGAACUCAAUGAAGGUCAAAUUAGAGCCACAAAUCAAAACCAGCAGGCAUCAAAAUCAAAAACCCAAAUAGAAAAAUCACCUGACAAAGCUAACAUGGACACCAAGGCUGCGAUGCACAGCAGAACAAUCAAUACAGAGGAAGAUCCCAUAUGUAACAGAAGCCCAAGUCGGAUUCUUGGCAUUGCAAUCAAAGCACAUCUGAAAAAAAAAACAAAAACAACAAUAAUAACCACAACCAACGAAGUGGGUCUGUUCCAUUUCAACAGGGGAUUGAAGAUCUCGACAUGAAACACACAGAUCGGAAAGAGGAAACACAAUAUCAAGAUGAAAUUGAAUGGAAUUCGAAUAAUACCUUGUUAUCGGACUUGGCUUUGAGUUUUCUAAAGACGAGGUUCUUGUCGGAAAAGCUGUCGAACGCCAUUGGAAAGGGAAACGAAGAGAAAAAUCCCCAAGGGGGUGUGCUUGAACGAACACCACCUUUGGGAAAUUGAAGACGAAGAUCGGUCAAGAAGAAGAAGAUCGGACUGAAACUCCAGAAAUCGCUUCCUUUGGUUUUUUAAUUCGAAAGAAAAUUCUUAACCGAAUUGACCAAAACAACCUUCUAUGUUUCUUCAAAGAACUGCCAGGAUGAGUCCAAGCUUUGAGCACUACAUAAGGGUACUUUCGUCAUUUUGAAGAAUCGAUUUUUAAAAAAAAUUAGGUCACAUUGUUCAAAAUAUCUCUCCAUCAAUGGUUACAACUUCUUUGCUUCUACUCCAUCUUUAAAAGUUAAUUUGAAUAUACUUUGAAUACUAUAAAAGGGUUUCUUACCUUUUCUUUUUUCCUUUUAACUUUUUCUUUUCAUGAAUUUGCUUUAAUGAGAUUAACGAUGUUUGAGUAUAUAGUUAGAUUGAUAGUUAUAUAUAUCGAUACUGCAUAGAGUUUUAAGACUCGUUCUAUUCCUUUUACUAAUCAACUUCAAUUUAGUGAAACUAUAAUCGAGAACACGUUCAACUUUUAUUUUACUUCUUAUAUUAACUCCAAUAUUAUAUUUUUAACCUAGAUCAUAAUCGUUAUGCCAACUGGUGAGACAAACUAGAUGUUCCUCAUACCAAAUCACAGUGGAUGACACUCUCAAUGUCAACUCAACUUUUAAAGUCACAACGAUAUUAGUAAUCACGGUACUAAUUUUGUGGAACCUCAAAUAUCAUUAACGAGUUGACAAUAAGCUAGUAUUGGAUAGUUGAAGUGGUCAAUACGUACGUUGAUACCUAGAUUGUUAUAAAAUCAAAGCAACUCGUUUAAACAUAAAAUGAGAAGUGCCACACGUACUUAUUAAUACUUGGCAUGAAAAUUGCUUGAGAAUUAGAGUUGUUUAGGCAAGCACUACCAUAUGUGCAAUUUAUUUUGCAUGAAAGCAUUAAGUAGUUAUUCUCUUAUCUUUUCGCAAAAUAUCAUUCAACAUUUACUUGAAAUUUGUUAAACUUGACAGUCUCGUAUUAAUGUUAUUCGUGAACUAAGACCAAGAAGAUUAAUUAGACACGAUAAGCUAGCUAAGACAGAGUUUAUGAAGUACAUUAUUCAUUUGUUUAUGUUAGAAAAUAUCUUAGGGUUGUAUUAAUUGCACUUAAACUUCAAUUAUGAUCAAUCUUGCUUUAAACUACAGUGUCAUUCAAUUUGAAGUAAAACUACAUCAAAUGAACUUAAGUAGCAAUAAAUGAACUUAACUAUACAUCUUGAGUUUUACUUGGUAUGGAGUGAUACGAGAAUUGAGUAUGAACACAGUUUUUUGUUACUUUUGACAUUGAUCUUCAAGGUAAAUUAAUUUCUAUAUUCUUUCUUCUAGUGUAAUCGUUUUUAUUUCCAGAUUUACCAUAUGCAAUUUAGAAGUUUACAUAUCUUCAAAGGCGUGUUUUCCCCAAUGACUAAGAAGUAUGAGUUGGAAAAAGACGAGUGUCGUUAAGUUCACUCUUCUACUAGCCCAAUGUAUGUUUAAAUUUAUUGGAGGCUCUAUUACUAAACAACUCCUCGUACUAAUUAAUUUCAUUACUUAUCUCAAAUGUAUCUUAAAAGUUAUUGAAUCAAAUUACCUAAAGUUUUCUUAUCAGCCUCUUUUUUCAUUUAAAGAGUGUUUGGUCCACCAACUUUAUAAAUUGAUAUUAAAAUAACUCAACUUCACCAGAAAGUAAAGUUCAUUUCACUCGAAUCCAUAUUGUUUUAAUCAAUGUCAUGGAUCGAAUUUGAAUAUUUUAAAAAACAAAAAUGAAACAAAAAGAAUGUGUUAUUUAAAGCAUAAAUUAAUGGAACUAUAUUUAUAGUAUAAUUUUGGAAUAUGUUUAAUAUUUCUUAAUAAUAUAAUUUUUUUUGUUUUGCUAUUGUUAGGAAGGAAAAUGGUAUCUAUUCUUUUAAAAAAAAAUUAUUCUAUUUUUCAUGAAAUAUUUACUCUUUCAUACAAAAAAAAAUCAAAUAUAAAUAGUUUGAAAAUUGUUCUAUUUUUUAAAAAACGUCUUUAAAUUUCAGUCCUUUUCUCACAAUUUUUAUUAUGAAAGGAUUUUAUACAAAACUUCCUAUAUAAUUGGCAAUAUAAUUCAAAUCUUUAUAAAAAUAAUUAAAAAGAAAGAAAGAAAAAAAAACUCUCUCCCCAAUUGGGCUCGGGCCUUUUUUGCUUGGAUGCUCUUGGGCUUAUGAAUCAAUGUGGGCAUCAUCAUCAUAUUGGCCUUUGACAAGGUUGAUUUUCCACAAAUAUCAACUACUUAAUCAAAUGAAGCAAUCUAUAUGGUAUAUGCUAUAAAGUAUUAAAAUGGAGAAUAAGCCAUAUUUUCUAUUUUUCCUUUUACCUUUACAAUUUUGUACAACGGUAGUAAAUUUUUCACUUGGGUUAAUUAGUCGAAUUUUCGUGACUUGGGUCGAGUAUGUGUUGGAGAGAAGAUGAUAUAUUUUGAUUAUAUUUUUUUAGAAUAAUUUUUAUUUAGAUUUUAUUCUUGGUAGAAAGGGGAAGAAUGAUAAAUAUGGAUAGCAUUUUGAAGUAUUCCUAGGACAUUACGAUAAUAAUUUAUUCCUUAGUUUUUUCUAUAAAGAGGGUUAUAAGGGGGAUAAUUUUUAUAUACAUAUUUUAUCCUUUUAUUGUUAGUAAAUUCUCACGCCACACUUUAUUGACUGAGUUAGCCUACCCCUUUUUAAGUGUACCUGUCUAUUCCGAACAAAAAUAUCAUUUAUUAAAAUGUAAUAUUGUAUUAAACUUUUUCAUACAUUUUAUGGAGAUUAAAACAACUCCAAACCUUUUACAUUCAACUUUUUUAUUUUCACCUAAAGUCUUCAAAAAAAAAAAAAGAAACUAGUACUCUAGAAUAUAAGAUAAUUUGAACUCUAUACUCAUAGUUAUUUCCUAUAAAUAAGGUGAAAAAAAUACGUUAAUACUAAUUUUGAAUUGUAUCAAAUACAACCAAAAACGAAUGUGAAAGUACAUCCACAAUAUGAUAAUAAUAUCAAAGUGGACAUAUAUACUUCAACGAAAAUACAAAUACACAAUCGAGAAAUAAGUGAUUCAAAUUCUUUUAUACAUUACUGUAGAAAAACAAAGAUUGUCGUGUUCGUUGGCCGGUGACAAAAAUGAAAACAAAAACCAUAGUGAAAGUACUUAAAGGUCUCGUGAGAUAAAGGUCGAGGGUAAAAUGGACGGCUCCCAAUUGAGAUAACAUGAGGAAGUAGACACCCAAAGACAGCCCUCCACGUGGACUAACUGUUGCAUUGGUGGCCGAUGAUGUGGACUGUACGGUAUGUGUGACGUGGACAAGUGAAAUUCGGUCCCACCCCUCCACUACCCCUUUUUUAAUUCACACGUUUUUCUUUCCCUCUAUUUCUCCCCUCUGGGACCCACUUUUAUUUAUAUAUUUAUAUAAUUAAAAGUUAUUCUAAAAAAAACAAAAUUUAUUAAAACGUUGAUUUUUUUAGGAAGAGUAAAUAUUUUUAUCAAAUUCUUUAUAGUCUCCUUAAAAUUUUUGCUAUAUUUUGUAAUUUUAAAAUUAAUUUAUAAAAUAAUAAAAUUCAUCAAACUCUUUUAUCUUAUUUAAAAAUUUUAUUUAUUUUAUAAAUAGUUUUAAUUUCUUUUAAUUAUUUGUAAUAAUUUUCCUUUAUUUUAUUCUCACCUUUUAUUUUUUAUAAUUCAAUAGAAUGGAUAAGCUUGGUUGAACAUUACACGUAAAGUUAGCAUAAUCUACGGAUUUAUUUACCUUUUUUAAAAGAAAAUAAAUAUCAUUCAAAUGUCAAUACAUAUAAUUGAACAAAAGAUCGAUCAGCUGAUUUUAGAUUUUUUCAUGUUGUUGAGCUACAAAAUUUCAUGAAACAAUCAAUUUAUUUUAUUAUGUUUAUUAACUACUAAUUUAUGUUUUGUUUAUAUAUGUUUUUUAUAUCCACUUUUUGCCAUUGUUAUUCUUAAGAUCUAUAUAAAGUUUGAUAACAUGAAAGAAAAAUGCAUUUUGAUUUUUUAGAAAUAUAAAUAUUAUUGAUCAAAAGUGAAAACCUUGAUUUAAGUGUUAAGAAGGGGAUUUUUUUCAAAAUUGACGGUAAUUACGAGUUAAUUUUCAAUUCACUUAUAAAAAGAUUUCAUAAUUGUCACAUCCCUAAAAGUUAGUCUAAAAGGCUAUGAAACUUGAAGACUCGAUUGAGAGAUAGGGAUUAAAUAAAAUUGUAUGUUGACUACCGACCAUAAAUCUUGAGGAUAAUUGUGCAAAGGGGAAUGUAUUAUCUCUUUAUAUCAUUUUGUAUAGAUGAUCUAAGUUGAAUUUUGACGUAGGGUUUAUGUCAGAGUGCAUAUUUUACCUUCUUAAACAAUCACAUUAAACUUUUUGAAAGUUAAUUACGUUUUAGGUUACACAUGGUGAUGUUAACGACUCAAAAUGAUCAAUAUAAUUAAUAUAAAAAUAGAUUUUUUUUUUUUUUUUUGGUUAUGCAUAGAAAUGAAAAUAUACAUUUAGAAAUUUACUUGAGAAAACUAAAAAAACAAUUGCGAGAGAAAGAAAAAGUAGAGUUGAAGCGUUUAAUUUUCUAAAAUCAAAAUGUUAUCAAACAUGGGUUCAAUAUUUUCAAAUUGCAAAUAUAAUCCUAGUCAUUCAAAUAAUUUCAAAGGUUAAGGUUUAGAAUAUAUUUUCUAAAAACAAAAUGAUUAUUAAAUGUGACCUAAAAAACAUAAUGAUUAUAAAACACAAUCGAGACUUUGAGAGUUCAAUUGAGGGACGGUGGGUUAAUCAUGAGAGGGGAAGGAUUAGGUCAUACUCUCAUUUCGUUUUAGGUCACGACAUGUCAGAAUAGUACUAUUGAAUAUUGGUUCGCAACAAAGACUUUUGGAUCGUGAAAAUAUAUUCCACCAUUGGUUAAAUUUUAUUUGUUGAUUAAAACAAAAUAAGAAAUUUUAGGGAGAAAAAUGUGAUUCAUGCAAAUCUAAAAUCUGACCUAAUUUUUAUUCUUUUCUUCAUUCAUUUCUUGACAUUAUGAGAAAAACCUACCAAAACAAAAAAGAAAAUGUUUGUUGAUUUUCCCCCUUAUUUUAGACUACAUUUUGUGAAAUAAAAAUAUUCAAUUUUUUUUUUUCUUUUUAACAAUUAGUUGCCAAUAAUUCAAAUCACAUUUUCCACUUCCAAUGUUGUACAUAUUUUCCCCCUAAUUUCUACACCCAUAACUUUAUUGUAAGGAAAAGUACUUUUGACUAUAUAUUUAUUUAAAUGUAUAGCAAAAUGGUUGGAUGAUUUGAAUGUGUGCUUUUGAUACAAUUAAUAAGAAACACAAUCACAAAUUAACUUUAUCUAUUUUUACUUAAUUAAUUUCCUUUCUAAGUUUUUAAUUUCCUUUUUAAGUUUUUUAAAAGUUUAAAAUAUAAUUUAUUAAAGAACAAGUUUGGAGGGAGUUAAGUUUAAAGAUCAAAGUCUAAUAUAUAUUCGUAAUAGAAAAUCAAAAAGUUUAAAGACUUAUUAGACACAAAAAUGAUCAAAGGUCACAGAACGACAACUAUUCGACAGUUUUUAAAGUUCACAUAGAUAUUAAACAUUAUCGACUUGUCGACAUCUCGAUUCUUUAUUCCAAAUAUCGUAAAAAAGAAGAUAUUAAACAUUACCGACUUGUCGACAUCUCGAUUCUUUAUUCCAAAUAUCGUAAAAAAGAAAAUUACGAGAGAAAAAGUGGAUAGAAGAGUACUUACAACCACAAUUUUAUUAUUAUUUAGAAGCAUUUAUGUUUGAAUGAGUGGGGGCAGAGUCAAAUUUUGUAAUCAAUUGGUUCACACUUUUGAGUAUUGAAUAUGUAAAAAAAAUGAGAAAAAAAUAAACAAAUAAUCUACUCUACUUUUUAGCUACCGACAUUUCAAUUAAAAUUAUUUAUGCCACUAUUUUUUUAGCAUAUGAUCAUGCUUUAUUAUAUACAUCAAAAUUAAUUCUUUAAUUUUAGUAUAUAUAUAUACACAUCAAAUAAAUACACCAUAAUUAUUAUUAUUAUUGAUAUGUAUUAUUGACUAUGUUUAACUAUUUCAAACUUUGAUUUAAAUUCAAUGUACAAUUGAAUAAUAAUAUAUACAAUGAAUGCUUAAUUUUCCUUUUUUUUUUUAAUAAUAUAUCUUCAAACAAAUAAAAUUAAUUUCAAUCAAAAUUGAUAUUAAGUUUAAUAACGUUAUGUCACAACAUUACAUGUGAAUAAGUAAAUCAUACAGAUAUAUCUACAUCAUUAUAACAUCUUCCAACCCAAUGUAGCAUAAUAUAAAAUUUAAUAAAUGAUUAAGCUCAAAGUAUUUAAACAAUUUAUAAUAGAUUUUCAAAAAAUUUAUUUCGUAUAAAUAGAUUAUAGAUUUUAGAAAUGUUUAAUAAAUAUUUUAGAUUUCUAUUUAUGAUUAAUAACUUAUAAUGUAUUUUUAUUAUUUUUAAAAUUGGUGAUCUAACUGAUACAAACAAUGAAUUAAAUAUUUUUCUAAAAUAUAUUUGUAGAUACAGUAAGGAAAUUUACUAAUGUUGAUAUCAUUAAAACUAUUUUUUAAUAUUACAAUUAUAGAGGUGAGGAAUUAGAUAAACUAUAUAUGAAAUAAUGAUCAGUGACGAUAUAUACAUUAAGAUUUUGGCCAUUAAAGUAAUUUCUAGAAGUGUUUGAUAGAAUUUUUCAACUUUUGUGUAUAGUAUAUAUUUUCUAAAACUUUUCCAACAUGAAAUUCUUUGUUCUUUUUAACCCAUAUAUAGAGAAUUUAGCUUUUGAGUGAUUUGACUUGAUGUGUGUAUAGUAGCUACGACUAAAACAUUAUCUCUAAAUUUAUUUCUUCAUCUUUUAUAGUUUACACUUUGUACGUGUCAUGUGCAACUUCCAUUGUUACCACUUAUAUUCAACAUAUUGUAAUAAUUAUUAUUAUUUUUCAUUUGUAUGGCUUUGUAGCAAACAUAAAAACUAUAAGUUAAAAUGAGAGAAAUAACUUAAGAUACUUAUAACUAAUCUAUUGGAAUUCAAAUACACAUUAAAGUUUUAUUUCAAAACAAGGAAGUGAACAUAAUUUUUCAAUUUCUAGUAGUAUCUUCCAUUCAAUUUUUUGAAAAUAAUUAUAUGACAUAUAAAAUAAUUAAAAGAAAACAGUUUUAUACCUAACAUGAUUUUUAAAAACGAGAAUAGUUAGGAAUAACAUAAAGAAAAUAAAAAUCUUUUACAAAGAUGAAUUUUACUAUAUAUUUUAAAAUAAUUUAAAUAAUUUGAAAUAAUUAUUGUAAUUUAAAAUAAAAUAUAAUUAUUUAAAAUAAAAGCAUAAAUUUAUUUUUUAAAAACACCAAUAAACAAUCAAAAAAGGUAGAUAGAGAAAUAUAGAAAUCUCCAAAACAUUUGAAAAAAUUGGUGAUUUAAAAAAAAAGUAAUAUUCUAAAAAAGAAAAAACAAAUAUCAAAUAGUCUAAACUCACGAACAUCACUUCUUAAAAAAAACAAAAAAAAAAAAAAAAAAGGAAAAGAGGAAAAGAGGAAAAGAAAAGAAAUAGUAAAAUUGAAAAAUAGAAAAUGGAAUUGAAUGGCGUUGGUUAUUUUCACGUGGGAAAAUGGAAAAUACGCAUGAUGCGACAUAAAGCUAAAACCCAAAAUAUAUUAAAAAGAAAUAAAAACUAAUAAUACAAAAUAUAAUUCUUUUCUAUAAGAAAAAAAUAAACAAAAACAAAACGUCGUUCUCAUGCCACGUUUCCUCAAAAAAACGUGCUCAAUAUAGCUUUAAAUAAUUAACCCCUAAACAAAUUUAAUUAAAGAAAACUAAUCUCCAAAUCUCAGCCAUUGCUUCCUCCAUCUAACCCUCUGACCCCACUCUACCUCUUAAAUCCAACGCUUACCCUUCACCUCCUCCACACACCAAACUUAGAUUUUUUUCUUCUUUUUUUUUUAAAUUUUGUAGAAGCCGUGUGGUUAUUAUUUAUUUUUAUAAAAAUGAAAAAUAUGAAGAUAACGAGGAAAUGGGGUCCACGUGGAAGACGAUUUUUUGGACGCCGAGUUUUUGGAUUUGGUCUUCCUUCGCAUCUCCUUCCUCGAACCUCUCUUCACUCGAUAUUAUUCACUUCGCUUCAACCGUCCUCUUACGUGGAUUUAUCCCCCUUUUUUUUACUUUUACUAUUUUUUUCUCUACAACUUCGAGUUUUAAUAAUUAAAACUUUGAAAUUUGGUAGGCAGUAAUUUUCGAUGUUACUUCCAAAGUUAAAAACUAAUUCCCUCCGUAAGUAUUUCUUUAUUAUAAAUUAAUACAUUUUAAUUAUAUUAACUAAGUUUGGCUUAUUACCUUUCUUAUUCUCUUAUUCUCGUACCUACAUAAUUCAUUUUUAAUAUACUAUAAAAGAAAUUUAGGUCAAUGAUAAAAAAUAACAAAUUUAACAAAAUAUUUACAUCAAAAUUUCCAGUUUCUUUCCAUAAUACUUUAUAAAUUUAUAAAUUUUAUCAGUGAUAUCAUGAAUAGAAUUCAAAAUUCUGCCAUAUGCUAUAAAUAUUUUAAUUUAUUUUGCUAUUUUUAAAAAUAUCUAUAUUUUUAUGAUUUGAAUUCAAAUUUUAUUUUAAUUAUUUAAUAAAAGUUCAGAGUUUUCUUUAAUAAAAAGUUAAAUCAAUUAAAAUAAAAAAUGAAAUGUUUUCAAAUAUAUAAAAAUUGAAACUAUUUAGCAAAAUCUAUUAAAUUCUUUUUGCAAAAUGUUGGUUUUUUUUUUAAAAAAAUAAUUUCCAUUUUUUUUUCUAUCUAUCGGUAAGAAUUAUCGAUUAAAGUAUAAAAUCUUAUUUUAAUAAUAGAAAAAUUAAAGGAUAGUUUAUUAUUGUUUUUUUUUUCUUUUUUGAAUAAGUGAGACUAUUACUUUAUUUUGAGUAAAGUGGGAAAAUAAAUAUUUGAGCAGAAAAUUUGGUAACUUUCAAAAAAGCAUUUGUCCCCUUUUCUCUUUCUCAUAUUUUGGUGAUAUUUUGUUGUUUCUCUCUCUCUCUCUCACUCAUUCCUUAAUUAUUUUAUUGCAUAUUUUCAACGUAUUUUUAUAAAAUUGUAAUUUGAUGAUUUGAUUUUUUAAAUGAAAAAAAAAUUGUGCAAUUUUAAGAAUUGAUAUAGUUUAGAUUAAAGCAGUAAUGAAAAAAAGAUACUGAGAUGAAAACUCAAAUAAACCUGUUUGGUAUCAAUAAAGGUUGAGAUUGAGCUAGGAAUAUGACAUGCAUACAACCCACUUGCUUGAGGGGAGACAAAACUUUGGACCAAAUGUUCAAAUAUGACCUAAUUAAUUUGUACCUUGGUCGAGUCAUAGCCACCUUUAAUUAACUAAGACAUGUUAAACGCAUAGGAUAAUCCAUUAAGAAUGAGAAUAAACCUAAUCCGACUCUUUGAAGGCUUUAAUUAGUUACAAAUUCAAAGUGUGCCGUGAAGUUUAAAUCAUUUUUUUUUUGUACCUGCUUUGUUUCUUUCUUUUCUAUUUUUACAACAUCUGCUUUGGCUGCUUUAACAUUAACAAUAUACAAUAUACAAUUUUGUAUAAAAAAUUCCUACAGCGUUAUUAUUAUUUUUCUUAAAAUAAAUAUCAUUAUUGUAAAUUUUUAAAUUUGAGGCGUCAUAAAGUUAGUUUAUAUGUGAGAGGUAUCUUGUUGAAUUUUUUAAGUUUUUAAAAUUUUUUAUUCAAUAAAGUUCUAAAAUUUGCUCUAUUUUUUUUCUGUUUGGCAUCCAACUGUAGACAUACUUUUUCAAAAUUUUAACACUCGGUUUGGUAUUUGAAUUUAAUUAAAUAAAGCUAUACUCAACAAAAAAAUAUAUUGUUUUUUAAAGUAGUUAAUUAAGUUGGUUAAUACCAUAAAGUAAGCACAAAGCAAUAUGUGACAAAUAAGUGAUAAAUAAGUAAUUUGUCUUACGGGUAUUUGUGACAAAUAAGUUUAUAAGGAUAACUCAACCAUCUUAGACAACCUAUCAACAUCAACUUGCCUAAGGUGAAUGUUAAUAUUGAUUGUUAGGGGUGAGUGUCACUUGCCAUUGAAGUUGAUUAUCAAAGGUGAUUUUCAUUGCAGUUUAUCAUAUAAGCAGUAGUUGGAGUCUGAAAUUGAAGGUGGUUAUCGAAGUUGAUAAUCAAAAAGUGAUUUUCUCAAAGUUUGUAGUCAUAGCUUGGAAUUCAUCGUGUAAACGUGGUCAUCAAAGUUGGCUUUUUUUGGAGUUUCCUAUUGGAGAUAGUUACCAUAGCCCAAAAUUAGUUGUUGGAGGUGGUCACAUAAAGGUAUCUAGUCGUUAGGUCAGUUUGUCAUCGAAGGUGGUUGCCAGACCUUGAAAUCGAUCAUCAAAGUUGGUUAUCUGAGUGUGGUAAUGGUAAUUGAUCGUUGAAUCUAUUAGAAAAACUGGAGAGAGCUUCAUCAACCUAUAAAGUUAGUGGACCAAAGAGAACUCAAACUCAACUUAUAUUUUGAUGUGUUAACUCCCCUAAAAUAAAACAAACGAAACAAAAAAAAAAAAUCAUAAAGACAAAAAUGAAAAAAUGGAGUACCAUCAUUGUACUAAAAAAAUAUAUUUUAACAAAAGAAAAAAUCAAUGACUACAAAUAAAUUUUAAAACACUAGAUUUAAAAAAAAAAAUCAAAGAACAAAAAUAGAAGAUAUUUAUAUAUAUAUAUAUUUAAAAAAGAAAAUUAAUAGAUAUUAUAAUGAGGCUUAGUAUUUUCAAAAUCCUGUUUUAGGGCAAAAAAAAGAGGGGAAAAAUAAAACAACUUCCGUCUUUGAUUCACAAACAAGAGACGUGUCAUGUUCUCAUUAGCUAAAACCGGAAAAAAAGCGAUGAGUAAAAAAGUCAUAAAAACGGUUAACCCUCAACGCCUCUCAAGGGUUCUUCACGUGCCAGUCACGUGGAAGGAAGGGAAGCGAACCGGGUCUAAGAAAACCGCACUAUCUGGGGUAAGUACUAUUAGUAUAAUUGUACUAUAAGCGCGGAGUUGAGAAAGACGCCGGCUUUUUGAACGAUUUAAUCGGCGAUCUAAAGAAGAAGCCUCUUGGUUCCUUCUUCUCCUCUUCGCUUCUCUGUUAAAUGUUCAUCACAAAUAAAUCCCAUACCAAUCGCCCGACAUUUCUCUCACUCCACAAUCGGAGACCAAAGAUUAUUCCUUUUUUCCCAUUUCUAUUUCUUCCAAUCUCAAUCGCAUGACGGAUUAUCGUUUGUCGACGAUGAAUCUCUGGACUGACGAGAACGCGUCGGUUAUGGACGCUUUCAUGAAUUCCGAUCUGUCUUCCUACUGGGCUCCGUCAGCCGCCUCCUCUCACUCUCUUCACCACCCACCGCCACCUCAGUCCUCCGCCUCCACAUCCACUCCCCCGCCGGACGCACCUAAGUCCCUCCCCGUUUUCAAUCAGGAGACUCUGCAGCAGCGGCUCCAGGCGCUGAUCGACGGUGCUAGGGAGAGUUGGACUUAUGCGAUUUUCUGGCAGUCGUCUUAUGAUUAUUCUGGUGGGUCUGUUUUGGGGUGGGGUGAUGGGUAUUACAAAGGAGAGGAAGAUAAAGGAAAGGGAAAAGCGAAAAUGGUGUCGUCAGCGGCGGAGCAGGCUCACCGGAAGAAGGUUUUACGGGAGCUUAACUCUUUGAUUUCUGGCUCUGCCGCCGGACCUGACGAUGCGGUGGAUGAGGAGGUUACGGAUACGGAGUGGUUCUUUUUGGUUUCGAUGACUCAGUCGUUUGUUAAUGGUGUUGGGUUACCGAGUCAAGCGUUUUACCACUCGACGCCGAUUUGGGUCUCUGGUGCCGAUCGGCUGUCGGCGUCUGCCUGUGAACGAGCUAGACAGGGGAGGGUUUUUGGGUUACAGACGAUGGUCUGUAUUCCAUCGCCUAACGGUGUUGUGGAAAUGGGUUCGACGGAAUUGAUUCAUCGAACGUCGGAUUUGAUGAAUAAGGUCAAGAUUCUGUUCAAUUUCAACAAUCUCGAAACGAGUUCUUGGAUUUCGGGAACUACCGCCGCCGCAUCCGCUGCCGACGAAGGGGAAAACGACCCGUCGUCGAUGUGGAUCAGUGAGCCAUCGAGUACAAUCGAGAUGAAGGAUUCAAUCACCACCACUGUUCCUUCCAGCAACGUUCCGGCAAAGCCAAUCCGUUCGGAAAAUCCCAGUACAAGUAGCUUAACGGAAAAUAUGAGCACGAUUCAACAAUCCCAUCAUAAACAGAGCCAAAGCUUCUU
rnacentral:lncRNA from 1 species